UUCCAAGAUACCCGCGUGAUCCUAAAUUUUUUUUUUUGUGAAAUUUGAGGAGAGAAGAGUCAAAACUUCUACGUCAGGAGACCUCACCAGAGCGACGAAGGGACUGAGGAGUAAAAAGAAUCCUACUCUCCGAUAUAUAUAAUCCUAAGACUCAAAACAUUUUUGUUCUAGACUCAACAACGCCAGCGAUUCGAUCAAGCAGGGGGCUCCUAAGUCGGGGAUGGCUCUGAUUACCAACUUGUAACGCCCACGAUGCGGCUAUAUCUCCCACGUGUCGAGGCACGACUUAGAGGCAUAAUCGCAUUGUGGUUUUGUCGCAAGAAGGGUCAUCUUCACACAAUCCCAUGUAAUGAACGAGAAUGGGAUAACGAGAGUUGGCUUACAAUCGCCACUUCACACAAUACAUAAAUAUAAUUCAUACAUCAUCCAAAAUCCACACAUAGACCGACUACGGUCAAAUCCAAAUGAAAAUAAGAUAACCCCAAAUGCUAGAUCCCCGAUCGUCCCAACUGGGCUCGACUACUGAUCAUCAGGAAAAGACACAUAGUAACGACCACGUUCCUCAUCGAACUCCCACUUGAGGUCGAUCCCAUCAUCUGCACUGGCAUCGUCGGCACCUGCAACUGUUUUGGUAGAAUCUGUGAGUCACGAGGACUCAGCAAUCUCACACCCGCGAGAUCAAGACUAUUUAAGCUUAUAGGAAAGGAUGGUGUAAUGAGGUGGAACUGCAGCAGGCACUAAGCAAAUAUGGUGGCUAAACAUACGCAAAUAAGAGCAAGAAAAGAAGCAACGCAACGGUCGCGAAGCUAGAAAUGAUCAAGAAGUGAUCCUGAAACUACUUACGUUCAUGCAUAUUUCUGGCAUGUUUAUGAAGCUAUCCAUGGCAGGAGCAAGUACAUAUCAUGUAUGAAACAACUACAACAAGCUUGGCAAAAUUGAAUAUCAUGUUAACAAUCUACCAGAAAUAUUUUAUAGCAAAAGUAGAGCAAGCUUGAGUCAUGCUAUGGCACUCCAUAAUUGCAAACAAGGGCAUGAAUGGAUCAACUACAACCAUAUCUACAAAACAUCCUUACUGAACAUCCACAAAAGAAGCAUGAAUCUCUCUGUAGCCACAUGGAUACAUAGCAACAAAAUAACAGCAGUCACAGACUUGGAGAAAUUACUGUCCCUGAAAUCAGAAACAUCACGAGGCCUAGUUUGCAUGCUUGUGCUAGUCACCACAGAGAUCGGAUCUAUAUGCAGAAAGUUAUGGAGCAAAAUGAAGAGCAUCUAGGGGCGAACAUUUCGAUAUAUUACAUGCGUGAAACGGAGCUAUAUGCAGAAAGUUAUGAUGCGAUGAACAUGUGCACAUAUUGUAAAAAUAUUAGGACUUAGAGGAUUUUCGGGGAAGGAGAAGAAAAGUCAACCGUGGCUUUUCCCAGAUCGGAUUGGCCGAAGCUCGAGCUCGAGCUCGCCGGAGCUGGAAGGGCGACGCGGCGGCCAGAGACGGAGGGCGGGGCGGCGACCGGAGAGGAGGGAGAGUGCGGCGGAGAGGAGAAAGACGGCGAGGCGCGGCGAGGAGGAGCGGAACGCCGCGGGGCGUGGUCGCCGGCGGUUGCAGACGGUGGCGCCGGCGGAUGAGGUCGCCGAAGGGCGGCGAGGUNNNNNNNNNNNNNNNNNNNNNNNNNNNNNNNNNNNNNNNNNNNNNNNNNNNNNNNNNNNNNNNNNNNNNNNNNNNNNNNNNNNNNNNNNNNNNNNNNNNNNNNNNNNNNNNNNNNNNNNNNNNNNNNNNNNNNNNNNNNNNNNNNNNNNNNNNNNNNNNNNNNNNNNNNNNNNNNNNNNNNNNNNNNNNNNNNNNNNNNNNNNNNNNNNNNNNNNNNNNNNNNNNNNNNNNNNNNNNNNNNNNNNNNNNNNNNNNNNNNNNNNNNNNNNNNNNNNNNNNNNNNNNNNNNNNNNNNNNNNNNNNNNNNNNNNNNNNNNNNNNNNNNNNNNNNNNNNNNNNNNNNNNNNNNNNNNNNNNNNNNNNNNNNNNNNNNNNNNNNNNNNNNNNNNNNNNNNNNNNNNNNNNNNNNNNNNNNNNNNNNNNNNNNNNNNNNNNNNNNNNNNNNNNCGAGGAGGCGGCGGCGGACGUGUCCGGCGCUGAGGAAGACGCGUCCGGCGGCGCGGAGGGGAAAAUGAUCUAGGGUUUCGCCCGAAUUUCGGAGGGGGAGGUGUAUAUAUAGGUAGAGGGAGCUAGGAGAGUCCAAAUUGAGCACGGUUUUCGCCCACACGAUCGUGAUCGAACGACCUAGAGCAUGGAGGUGACUUAGAGGGGUUUUGGGCUGUUCGAAAGGGGGGGUUUUGCUGCAACACACGAAAGGACUUUGCGGUUGCCCGGUUAACCGUUGGAGUACCAAACGACCUCCAAAUGGAACGAAACUUGACAGGUGGUCUGCCGGUGGUAUACCAAGGCCACUUGGCAAGCCUCGGUCCAUUCCGAGAACGUUUAACACCCGCUCACGAAAAGAAACAAGAGGGGUGCGCCGGAGGAGGUGGGAGUGCCGGAUUGCAAAACGGACAACGGGGAAAAUGCUCGGAUGCAAAAGACGAACACGUAUGCAAAAUGAGAUGCACAUGAUGACAUGAUAUGAGAUGCAUGACAUGAACAAAAUGCAAAACGGAAAAACAAAACCCGACCACGAAGGGAAUAUCAUAACACAUAGCCGAAAAUGGCAAGAGUUGGAGUUACAAAUAUGGAAAGUUACAUCGGGGUGUUACAUGGUAGACCCAAGUACUUCCCUUCCGUGGACUCGCUUCCCAGCUGGAGCUCUUGCAAGAGCAAGUUCUUGCAAGACUGCUUGGCAUUGGAGCUGAACAUCACCGAAGAUUUUUCUCGGUUAAUCACGUGGCCAGAGCACUCUUCGUACUCAUGUAAUAUGGAGUUGAUAGUUUGUACUCCUUGGGUAGUAGCUUCUAGGACCAGUAACGAGUCAUCUGCGAAGAGCAGAUGAUUAACUCGCGGUGCCGUCGGUGCAAGUUUGAUUCCUUUAAUCCGAUUCUCCGCAUCAGCUUUGUUUAGCAUCGCUGACAGCCCUUCCACACACAGAAGGAACAGGUAGGGGGAGAUAGAAUCCCCCUACCUUAGCCCCCUGCCUGGAACCACAACAUCUGUGAGCGUGCCGUUCACUUUGAAUCUAUAUGACACCGAACUCACACACUUCAUGAUCAGCUGCACAAACUCCUCCCUGAACCCCAUCUUCCUCAUCAUCCCUUCGAGGAAAAACCACUCAACACGAUCGUAUGCUUUGCUCAUAUCCAACUUGAGUGCCAUGUAAACAUCCUUGCCCUUCCUUUUCCUUUUCAUGAAUUGGGUCAUCUCAUAGGCAAGAAUAGUAUUAUCCGAUAUCAACCAUCCCGGCACAAACGCACUCUGGUUGUCAGAGAUAAUUUCAUCCAAGAUCAUCUUGAGUCGGUUGGCGAUAACUUUUGACACAAGUUUGUACACCACAUUGCAAAGGCUAAUAGGGCAAAGAUCUUUGAUUCGAUCAGGGUUCCGAACCUUUGGGAUAAGCACAACAAUUGCUUCGUUCCAUCCCUCCGGUAUACAGCCGCCUCGCAACACAUGUAACACCUCUUGUGUAACCGCAUCACCCACAGUAGUCCAUAAUCUCUUAUAGAAAAUCACUGGCAUACCAUCCGCACCUGGGGCUUUGAGAUCCCCCAUAUCGUCAAGUGCUUUCUUGAUUUCCUCCGGAGUGUACUCCUUACCUAACAUCUCGUUCAUCUGUUCUGUAACUCGUGGCUCCACAUCUUGUAACACUCUGUUGUGGUUAGCUCCAGCUCCUGCCCUGGCCGUAAACAAGUGUGUGAAAUGAUUAGUCACCAAGUGAAUGGCAUUUUUCAUGUGAACAGUAUUAGCUCACGACAUUGUAUUGUAGCAAGAUAUACGGCCGGUGUCCUCGUUGGAGAUGCACUCCACUUCCUCCUUGGUGGUGGGCUGAUAUGUUCAUGAACAACAGAUUUCCAAGUAUGACUUGGUUGGAAAGUGCAUAACCAUCUAGUGCUACGGAACUACUAGGAACCUAUUUUUACCCUAGGCAGAUGUAACGGCGGGAUAUAUGCAUUUGUCUUGGUUACAAACAUUCUCGAUUGGGAGAACAUGGCAUGCUUUGAAACAGAUAACAAGCCAACACCAUAAUUGUCACUGCAACUUAUUCCAACUAUGAUCUUUGCAGUUCACAAAACGAUGAUGUAUGAAUGGCGAUUUCCAUGGACACAUUACAUUUGGAAGAGAACAAGAGGCAUUUUUAACUUUGAAGGGCUGGGCCAUCCAGUUUGUCCUCUUUUUCCUGUAGGAAGUUAAAGCAAGGAUACUCCAGGACCAAAGGCGGCAUAUCAAUACCUGUUACCUUUUCCUAAAAAAAAUCAAUACCUGUUACCUCGAAUUCUGGCACAGGUCCACCUGCAGAUGUCAUCCAGCGAAAAUGGGAUGCUGCAACGAGACGUGCCAUGAACAAUUAACAUUUGUGAGCAGGCUUUAAGAAAAACCAGUGACUGUUGAACAUGCAAGAGGAAAGUAAACCUUAAGUCGUCAUCCAAUAAGAAAGGAACAAUCACUCCAUUUUCCGAAUUUUCAGUCACAAUUGCUUUCAUACUUGAGAUGGUCUGCAGUUUGUUUUCCUUUGUCAGACUCACAAAUAUGUGAAACUUGAACAGACUGGCAAUUUACUAACUAGAACAGGCUACCUCUGACAAAACAUUCUGGGUGCCGAAUUCGUCAUCCCAAAACAUCGUACUGAUACGGUAUAUCUGUACUAUGCUAAGGACCUGAAAAUUUGUAAAACGAAUGAUAAGUUGCCCAAUACGCGUAGAUGAGUGACUAAACUUAACCGAGUUCAGAUACCACUUAUAGGGCACAAAUCGUUGGUGAUCUCUUCGAGUGUUUUCCAUUGCUUCUGGGAAGUAAGCUGAGGAGAAAAUUUGUUAGAUCCAGUUUUUACCAAUAACAUUGCAAAUGAAACAGCCAUACACUCAGUCAAUACAGACACUUACAAGGAAUGCAACAGCCUGGCUAAUGUGCUUCAGUUCAUCCCAGGAACAUCCUGCAUACUAUGUGUACCAUAUCAUUAGCAUAGAGGUUAAAAAUGUCUGGAAAAAAAUCAUCCAUACCUCUUUAGUCGCAUCGAUGCUCCACUGUUCUACUCUACCAAUCCAGCCUUGACAUAUUCUUCAUUGCUAAAUGAACAACACUCUCGUCCGAGAAGCAGACUACAAGAUACAGAGUAUCUUAGAAGCCUUAAGGAAAAAGGUGCAACAAAGUACAGAGCUCGGGAGGGAGAAUCUUACCUAUGGAACAACUCGACAUUAAUAUAUGAAAAUAUUUGAACGAACAGCUUGGAUAUUAAGAAUGAAGGAACUUGUACAAUAUCAAUAGAUCAUAUGUCAAUGUGUAUCAUCAUUACUUGAAAGGGGUAUGCAAGAACUCAUUCAUGCUUAUACAUAAUUGGAUUUCAAAACAUUCAGGUAGUUUCUUAAUAUUUGCACAAUACUCUGCCAAUGCCCGAUCGGAGCUUGCUGAGCCAAGACGUUUGCUACAGAAGCUCCACUAAUCAGACUUGCACGAAAUGUUCUUGGUGCCUGCAAAGAAAAGUGUAAGUAAGCUGAACCUCAAGGCUUACCUUCUACUCCCUCCGUUCCAAAUUAUUACAUGUUCUAACUUUUUUCCAGAUCCGAACUAUAGACACGUUUUAGUGUAUUUGUUCACUCAUUCCAGUCCGUAUGUAGUCCAUACUGAAAUAUCUAAAACAUCUUAUAAUAGUGAAUGGAGGGAGUACGUUAAAAGAAAUCUAGUGCUCCCUCCGUCCGGAAUUACUUGUCGCGGGAACCUGUGUAUCUGAACAUAUUUUUAGUUUUAGAUGCAUCCAUUUCUGCGACAAGUAAUUUGGGACGGAGGGGGUAUAGUUUAUACAUACUUGAGUACACAUAUCAAGAAAUGUCGAUACCUCUCUUCAAAUUGUCUCUUAUCGUUGUAUACAUAGAGGCAUCAGAGAUCCCUGGAUGAAGAUAAUUUUUCUGUGCUAUGCCCCAAACAUGUUCUCAAAGAUAGUAGCUUUUCAGUGCAAUUUCAGCUGUAGGUCUGGAAUUGUCUACAGGUCAUUUGGAGUCAUGGAUCCUCAGGGAAUUCAUUAUUGAUGCCAAGGCUAGUUUUGGCCAUCCUUUCUUCCUAUAAGUGGCAUUUACUGCUACAUGGAACAUAUGGAUCAUUAGGAAUGGCAAGAUUUUCAGAAAUGAAAGACCAACCUUUACUGCCUGGAGGAGCAAGUUCAUUCAUGACAUCACUUUGCUCUCACACCAUUUCAAGGACUCAAUCAAGCCAAAGCUUUCAGCCUAGAUUGCUUCUCUGCCUUAAUUGUACUCUAUGUUGUGCUAUUGUAUAGAGUAAGUUGUAUAUAGGUAAGCUAUAUAUUCUCUUCUUAGGUAGAUAGCGUUGUUCCUUAGUUUAGGAAGUUUUUGUUUUCUCUUUUCUGUCCUGGACUUUUGUUUUUUGUUUGUGCAAUUUUAACAUGCUCCCUCUUACCCCCUCUUUUCACACGAGAGGUAAGAGUAGAUAAUAGAUCUGAGCCGUUGAUCUCAUUAAUUAGUGGUUUGAUUAACUCUUACCUUCUUACCUCACAUGUAAAAAGAAGGGGUAAGAGGGAGCAUGUUAAAAUUUGCCUUUGUGUUUUGAGUUUUAAUAAAGCGCCGUGGGGCUUUUACCUCACAGAUUAUAGUAAAAAAGCAAAUAAUUUACUGGAAACAAAGAGCAACAAUCAGAGUGAUUAAAAUGGGAGAAGCAACCAAACAUUUCCAAGCUAAAGCUACUAUCAAGUUUAGAAAGAAUCAAAUUGUUAUGCUCAAAGAUUGGGUUUUGAAUACCAUGAUCAUCAUUCUAAAGCUACUAUCCUUUUUAGAGCUUUCAAGGACAGAUUGGGAUCCAACACCCCUACCCAUAAUCCCUUGAUCUUGCAUAACCUCCUGGAGCACCAUGAUGAUCUUCUAGAUCUGGAAACACCUUUCACUAAGUCAGAAAUUGAUGAUGUGGUCCAAAACAUACCCGCUGAUAAAUCCCUUGGCCCUGAUGGAUUUAAUGCUGCUUUUUUGAAAGCAUGCUAGGAUAUUGUGGCUCCAGACUUUUACAGACUAACUGGGGAUUUCUAUAAUGGAUCAAUCAAUAUUCAGAGCAUCAACUAUUCCUUCAUAGCACUUAUACCCAAGAAAGAUGUUGUUUCCCCUGGAGAUUUCAGACCUAUUUCACUCCUUAAUUGCACCCUGAAGAUCAACACUAAGCUCCUGGCCAAUAGACUCCAAAAUGUCGUCUUCAAACUUGCACAAAAAAAUCAAUAUGGCUUCCUCAACAAUAGAUGCAUACAAGGCUGCCUUGCUUGGUCAUAUGAAUAUAUACAUUAGUGUCACCAGACAAAGAAAGAGAUCAUCCUACUUAAACUGGAUUUGGAAAAAGAAUUUGACAUGGUGAACCAUGACACCCUCACUGAAAUCUUGCAAGCCAAAGGUUUUGGGGAUAAUGGAUGCAAUGGAUUAAGAUGAUAUGUAGUACCGGCUAUUCCUCUGUUAUUCUCAAUGGCCUCCCAGGCAAACAAUUUCUAUGUAAAGAAGUGUGAGACAAGGAGAUCCUCUAUCCCCUUUGAUAUUUGUUGAUCUUUUGCAAUCUAUGCUCAAUGAAGCCAUGCUUAAUUCCCUGGUUGAAACUCCCCUGCUCCACCACUCAUGCCCUAAUUUUCCUAUCAUGCAAUAUGUUGAUGACACUAUUUUGGUGGUCAAUGUUGAUGCCCCACAAUUGAGCCAUAUUAAGAAUUGGUUGCUUCACUAUGUUGCAUAUACUGGAUUAAAAAUUAACUAUGCCAAGUCAACCAUGAUUCCUAUCAACACUUCAGAACCCAAGAUGCAUGAGUUGUCCCUGCUAUUUGGCUGCCAAGUUGGUACUCUGCCACACACUUACCUGGGUCUUCCCCUGAGGCUCAGCAAACAAAGAAUUUAAGACUUUGUACCCAUGCUGAAAAGAAUUGAGAAUAGACUAUUGGGUUGCUCCACUCUCCUAUCUACAGGUGAUAAACCUCAUACUCAUCAAAUCAGUUUUCUCCAGCAUGCCAAUCUUCAUUAUGUGCUCCUUAUGAUCCCUAUGAUAGUAGUUAAGCAACUCAACAUCUACCUCAAACACUGUUUUUGGAGAAAGUAUGGUACAUAGGAAAAAGGAACUGCAUUGAUUGCCUGGGAGAAAGCAUGCUUGCCCAAAUCACAUGGUGGUCUGGGUAUCCUAGAUAUUACAACCUACAAUCAGGAACUAUUGAUGAAAUAUCUUCACAAGUUUCUCAAUAAGGAGGACAUCCCCUGGGUUAAUAUCAUUUGGGAAUCACAUUACUCUAACUCUUUGCAUGGGGAUAAAAUUGUUGGAUCAUUUUGGUGGAGAUCUAUUCUUAGACUUCUGCCCAAAUUCAAGCAAUUUGCUAUAUGUAAAGCUGGUAGAGGGGACACUGCCCUAUUUUGGACAGAUAAAUCGAUGGAUCUACCACUUAUCCAGAAAUUGAGCCCUACUCUUUCACAAUAACAAGGAAAUUUCCCUGCAGAUGAGCGAGGCUAGGGGAUAGUUGUAAUACAGGGAAGAGCUCUCGCCCGAGCCGCUCCCCCGGGCGGCAAGGCGAACCCUAGUCGUCGCCGGACCGCUCCUCUUCCUCACCUUCUCUCCUCCUCGCCGCCGCCGGAGGGCUCCGCCGGGUGAAGCCCGGUCGGCAUCGGCGGCGGCGGGGUCCUCUGGCCUCCCUCCCCUGUUGCUCGCAGCGCGGGCGCAUCGGCUUGGCAGGGACGCGUCGCUCGCGCGGUGCAGUGCAGCGGUGACCCGGGCGGCCGUGCCGGCGAUGCGGCUUGCCGGUGGAGCGGCGGCGGCUGCGCGGUGGGCGAGGUGGAGUUGGCGGGGUCGGCUCUACUGCGGGUGGUGUCGCCGACGGCCCAGAUCCCCUUGUCAGCCGACUUGGGCUGUGGCAGCUUGGACCGGAGGGCAUACUGCCUUGGCUGGGUGGUGCUCCGAUGAGGCUGAGGGGCCUCCUGCUGCUGUUGGCUGGCGGCGGGAGAGGCUCGGGGGGUGGAGUGUGGCGGCACGGGGGCGGGCAGCGGCCUCGGUGGCGCGCCCCUCUGCUGUAGGGCAGUUCGGGGCUCCCCUCGGGGUCCCGGCAUGGAUUUGGACUGCCAUGGCGUGGUGGUGGCUCAUAGCGGUGGUUCGGGUUGGCUCACGGUGGCGGUUGGACAUCUCCGGCGUCGGUUCAUCGGUGAGCGGCCUGUUUCGGCUUUGACCCCUCUUCUCGUCGUCCGGGCACUACCCUCGUUGAAGGGCUGGCCUUCUCCCCGCUGCAGUCCAGUGCUCGUCUCGCGCCUGGUGUUGCGGGAUCGAGCUCGUCUCGCGCCCGGCAACAGGACCGAGUUUGUCUCGUGCCUGGCAGCAGGACCGAGCUGGUCUCGUGCCCGGCAGCAGGACCAAGCUCAUCUCGCGCCUGGCUGCAGAAUCGAGCUCGCCUCGCAUCCGGCGCAGCAGGACGGGUCACCGGAGGCCAGUUUUGGCCGGCCUUUCGGGUUUCGGCGAUGGGGGCUACCCAGGAGUGUGAAAGGCGAGGCCUUUCCACUCGUCUCUUUGGUUGGGGUAGCGACGGGGCUCGGGUGAGAUGGUGUCAAGGUCUUAGAUGCUGGGGCAGCGACCCUGGUGGUGGUAGCGCGGUGCUCAUGGGCAGAGCCCGUGGCUUGGUGUUGCCCGGUGACCAUGGCCGUGUGGGCGGCAUGGUGGCUGGGGUGUGGCGUUCGGUGGCGGUGAGUGUUGGCCGGGGUGAAAACAUGUUUUAUCUUCGGACGGAUCGGCAGCGGCGUAGCGCGUUCCCUUCUUGAAGGCGUCGUCGCGGCUCUUAUCGGUCAUCGUGUUGCUCUAGGGCAAACUCUGAUCCUCGGGUCGGGCGGUGGCGGCACGCUAGCGUCGUAACCUUCUUGAAGGCACCGCCUUGGAGCACACGGUUCUUCAUAUGUGGCUUCAUCUCUUCGCGGUGGCGUGUUCACGGUGGAGGACCCCGAUUGCUCUUGUAGUGUUAGGGGUGGUGUUGUUGCGCUCAGCGCCUAUGUAUCCCGCCUUGGGUGUGUGCGUGUGUUGUCGUGGGGUGCGUUUGUACUUGGGCUGUGGUUAAUCAUUGCUUUAUAUAUGCAUUACCACAGAUUGAACACCUAUUUCAGAGACCACUAUCACAAGAAGCAUUUCACCAGUUCACCAUCCUCCAAUCUGCCUUAUUAACAGACCUCUGUCAAAUGUGCAAGAUCAAUGGACUUACCCUUGGGCAGCCAAACACUACUCCAUGAAAAUGUACAACCUUUUGAUUGGUGCUAGCUCUGCUCACAACAUCCUCAAGCUGCUCUGGGGUACCUCCUGUAAACUCAGACAUAAGAUAUUAUUCUAGCUACCACUGCAUGAUCGUGUCAAUACCAGAAAUCUUCCGAACCGCAAGAACGUAUACCUGGAGAACUAUAACUGUGCCCUAUGUUCAGAAAACACUGAGGAAACUGCAAUGCAUCUGUUUUGGGAUUGCACAUUUGCUCUAGACUGCUGGGGACACAUUCUUCCAUCUAAGAGCAUCUCCAAUAGAUGAUCCAAAUGUAAAAGUAACUAACUUUUGGACCGUCUAAGGCCAAAAACGCAGCUCCAACAGACAGUCCGUAUGUAAAAAAAAUAGACCGCGGCCUCCUCGUGAUGUAAAAUACAACACCUCGUGGUGCAAAUUUACAUCACGAGGUGCAUCUGGUCCAAAACCAGCCGCCGCCCGCGAACGCCCAACCGCCACUUCCUUUCCUUUCCCGCCCGCCCGUCCGCCGCCGCCCCGCCGCCUCCACACCCCGCCGCCGCCCCGCCGCACGCCGCCCGCAUCNNNNNNNNNNNNNNNNNNNNNNNNNNNNNNNNNNNNNNNNNNNNNNNNNNNNNNNNNNNNNNNNNNNNNNNNNNNNNNNNNNNNNNNNNNNNNNNNNNNNNNNNNNNNNNNNNNNNNNNNNNNNNNNNNNNNNNNNNNNNNNNNNNNNNNNNNNNNNNNNNNNNNNNNNNNNNNNNNNNNNNNNNNNNNNNNNNNNNNNNNNNNNNNNNNNNNNNNNNNNNNNNNNNNNNNNNNNNNNNNNNNNNNNNNNNNNNNNNNNNNNNNNNNNNNNNNNNNNNNNNNNNNNNNNNNNNNNNNNNNNNNNNNNNNNNNNNNNNNNNNNNNNNNNNNNNNNNNNNNNNNNNNNNNNNNNNNNNNNNNNNNNNNNNNNNNNNNNNNNNNNNNNNNNNNNNNNNNNNNNNNNNNCCCGCCCGGCUCCAUCCGCCACCGCCCCUCAGCUCCGCCCCGCCCGGCUCCGUCCGCCACCGCCCCGGCCGCAAGCGGUGCCGCUCCACCGCUCUCCGAUGGCGCCGAAGAAGACGCCGAAGGACAAGUCGGGCUUCUUCGGUGUGAGGCAGAAGCCCUCCGGUAACUUCGGAGUGGAGUUCUCCGACGCCGGGAGGCAUUGGUGGAUCGGCACGUACCCCUCCGCCCACGAGGCCGCGCGUGCCUACGACGUGGCGGUGUGGCGUGCCGAGAGGCCUCGGGAGCACCUCAACUUCCCAGAAAUCGAGAGUCGGGCGAAAGCGGAGAUGCUUGCGCCGCAGGGCAUCAAGAUGAAGGAGAUCCCAACGAAGAAGAAGACGACCAAGAAGCCGUCGGUUGUCGUCAGUGCUGGCGAGACCGACGAGGAGGCGAUGGCGAGGUUUGCUCGGGAGCAUCCGGAGCACGUCCAGGACGAGCUGGAGUAAUACUGGAAGCGUGAGGCGGAGCAGAAGAAGAAGGGGGGUGAAGAAGGAGGACGAGGCCGGCCCCUCGACGGUGAUCCCCAUCGAUUCCUCUUCCAAGGAGGACUGGGCAGACUUCUCGGAGGAGGAGGAGGGGGAUGCGAUGACCCGGAGAAGGAGGAGUUCUGGGCGCAGUUCCGCAUCUCCGACGAUGAGGAGUAGUUUAUCUAGUAGUUUGAAUAAGUAGUAGUUGAAGUUCAUGUAUGAAACUAUGUUGAAUUUGAUGUUUGAACUAUGUUGAAUGGACUAGUAGUUUAUCGUUUUACAUCUUCAUUUUGGAUCAUCUAUUGGAGUUGCUCUUUUAGACCAUCAAUUUGGACCAUCUGUUGGAGUUGAGCUUUUUUCGGAGCUCCAAAACGCACUUUUUGUCGGUCCAAAUUUUACAUCUCCGGUUUUGGACCGCCAAAUUUUGGACCAUCUAUUGAAGAUGCUCUAAGAACAGGGGUAUAUCCCCCUAUGACGAAAUUCAGCUUGACUUUCUUGAUUUGCUGAAGGAAUUUGCACUAGAUAUUAUUGUCUUGGUUUGCUGGAGCAUUUGGUCGAUCAGGAACGACAAAAUUUUCAGGUCUGCAACUCCACACCUAUUAAGUUGGGUUCACUAUCUUUUUUUCUAUGUAAUGCCAUCACGACGGAUUAUAUUAAUUGUGGAAAUAACGAUACAUCAUCCGCUAGUACAUGAACUAAAAACUCCGGUGGAUCCACAUUCCAGACAAUGUUUUGUGGAUCUACCAGUUAGCUACAAUCAUCAUCUCUAUUAGCCUCCCUAGGACAACUAGAAGAACGCCCGUGCGUUGCAACGGGGCCACAUUAAAUUUAAAAGUUCAAUAUCAAUUAUGUUAAUAUUACAUUUAAUAUUCUCAUACAUAUUAAGUGACAUUGACGACCUUUUUUACCAUCAAAUUCUCACACACACACCCUCUCCCUCCCUCUUCCUCACUCUCUCUCCCCCUCUCCCUCACUCGAGAGGUGGGACGAAAAUAAACCCGGAACGGAGACUACCAACUGGGACAUUAGGAGUAGAGAUCAUUUAGUUGAUAAGAAUAAAUAGAAAACGGUGUUAAAAAGGAGAAACAAAUUAGAAUACAUUGAAAAACCAAAAGGACGAUGUAAAAGGGGAUUCGCCCUGCCCCCCGGGCCUUGCCACCGAACCGGCUCAGCGGUCCAGUCCCCGCGCGGUCGUCUUCUCCUGUUCCCCGAGCCGCGUCGCUACAGAGCCGGGCUCCUGCCCGACCACCUCGCUGGCAUCGAAGGGGAAUGGAUAAGGGUGAUGCCCUUCCUUCCCUGCCCCCAUGGCCUCACUCCUCCUUGACGCCCCCUCCCAAAUCCACUUCUCCUCACUCGCUCGAUCCCAUCGAUCUGGACGAAGUCAGACGCCACGGCCACCAUGACCGACCCCGUCCACAUGGCCACUGCCCUCCCUGCGGACUAGGAGCUUGUCGAGGAGCUCCGAACGCCUUCGCUACUUCGUCUGCGCCAACGAGAUCAAGUCCAGCACCCCCGCAUCGACGUCGUUGCCGUAUUCCUCAACCUUGGGCCACCGCGACAUUGUCGUUCGAUCCGCGCCGCCCCGAGCUCCCAUGUCUUCCCCUAGGGCGCCAUUGACACCGCCAUGAUCUCCUCUUGCCUUUCCCCUGUUUCCCCUCUCGUUUGCUCUCGUUAGGUAUUUCGCCGUGGCCGAGAACCGCCGUCCGCCAUGGCCAUUGCAGGGGUAGCCACCGAGCUCCUCGGAUUGACCCCGUGGCACAUGCCCGCUCCUAUGCACGCCCAUGCCCGAGCCUGCCGCUCUUCUUCCGCGCCCGUGGGGCCACUCCCUCUCCAUGCCCACGCCCGUGCUACACCGCGUCGAUCGCGCCCGCCGCUGCCGUCGCGCUCGCCGCUGCCACCGCACCACUGUGCCCCGCGCGACACACACCCUGACUGCGCACCACACUCUCGCUGGCUGCGCUCGCCCCGUCUGCUGCCGCCUAUCCCUUCGCUCGCCCCGCUGUCGCGCCCCUGCCUCGCGCCGCCUCCAGUCGUGGCCAUCUUCUGCCGGCCGCCCCCUCAGCCACGCCGGCCGCCUCUCUGCCCUCCACCGCCGGCCGCUCGCCUCGCCUGCUGCGUGUUGCUUCCUGCUGCUAUGCGCUGCUCUACCGCUGGUACGCUGCUGCGCCAUGCCCUCGACACCGCCGUGGACAAAUGUGGCGGAGGGAUUGUUAAUGGAGUACGAGAAGGAGGUGGCAGAGAAGGUGUGGAGAGGCAGGAGGUCUGGGGCGGUGUCACCUAGCUGUGGUGGAGGCGUUUAUGCAAGAAGGAGCCGGAGUGGAAGGAGAGGUCACAAUUGGAAAGAAUCGCAAAAAAAACAUCAUAACCCGGAGAUCUCAGUUCAAAAAAAUGCUAAUAUCGAUGGAGGGGUGAUUUCCUUCAAUAGGUGAAAAACAUAGGAAAUAUUGGUUGUUAUCAAGGAAACGUAAAAAUUUAGGAAAGUUAGGAUUUUUAAACUGAUUUCUAUGCAAAUGGGGUUUUAUUGUUUGGUAACGUGAUAUCAGUACCUGCCCGUUUGUGACGUGUCUGAUUAGGAAAGUUUGCAAAUGUUAAGAAACUAUUUAUUAGGAGGAAAGUUGUGACGUGUCUGUUAUUUGUUUCCUAAAACAAAUUUCACUACUAAGAGAAAUCGAUUGAUUUAGAUAAGUUAGGAAAGUUAGGUUAAAAUGUAUUAUUUGUUUCCUGAAAAUCUGUUAUUUGUUUCCUAAGACAAAUUGAACCAAUAAAAGGAAUCGACUGAUUUGCAUAAUUUAAGGAAGUUAGAUUAAAAUGUAUUAUUUGUUUCCUGAAAAUCUGUUAUUUGUUUCCUAAGACAAAUUGAACCAAUAAAAGGAAUCGAUUGAUUUGCAUAAUUUAAGGAAGUUAGAUCCGUGAUUUGUUAUACGUUAGGAAAGUUCUGGUUGUUAUAAAGAGUGGAGAGAAAAAUAAACCGAUGAACCAGGGUGGGAGGGGGUGGUGGGAGAAGAGACAAAAAAAACCAUGGAAAAUAAACCGCGGACCAGGGUAGGAGGGGGUGGUGGGAGGAGAGACGAAAAAAAAACAGUGAAAAUAAACCGCGGAGACAAUUCACCAACUCGUCCAUUAAAAGUAGAGAUGAUUUAUUAUUACGUGAUCAAAAUUAUGAACUAGAAAGGAGCACUCCUCGUAGAUCGCCGUUGCUGGUCCUAUGGAGUUGCCACCAUGUUGCAUUACAUCGACAACCUCCAUGUAGUCUGAUUCGACCAUGAUCCAAAAGGGAAGUUGGGUUCACUAUCUAAAAGGACUAUGGGCAGCACAAAUCAAAGCUAAACCUUCCAAGACUGACAAGAUCAAGCAUUGGGUUGAACAGCACCUUUAAUUUUUAAUACUCCCUUCGUUCAUUUUUAUAAGUCGUUUUAGACAAGUGGAAUUGAGCUAUUUUACACAUUGUCUGAAACAUCUACAAAGCCUUAUAAAAGUGAACAGAGGGAGUAAGUAGAAUAAUACCUAAAGCUGGUAUUGAAUGAUUGUAUUUAUUUUUUCUAUUUUUGACCUUACUGUAAAUAUACUUUAAUUAAUGAAAAUUACAAUAGAACGAUUGUUCUACGGUUUGGGCUUGAAAAAGAAAAAUCUCCUUUGUUUCUCGGAAUUAGUUUGUUGUACAUGCAUUCCUACGUAGCGCAGGAGUUCUGAUACUCCUAUUUGCUAUAUUUUUCUUUCUCCCAGAAUCAAUCAAUCGUACAAUGUUCUGCAUCGAGGACAUGGUUUCAAGGAAUCCAGCAACACAAUGCAAGGGAAGUAAAACAAACAACGAACCAUUAUUGAGAACAACAGUGGUGCGGCAACUGAAGCUGUAGCCAUGGGCUGCUAUUCUGUUCUCUGCCAAAGGAAGUCGAAGCGAGGAUUCUCCCGGAUCAGAGGUGGCAUAUCAACAUCUGUUAACUCAAAUUCCUUCAUUGACUCCAGGACGUCGUCCACCGAGAAUGGAAUGCUGUAGUUACAAGUGCCAUGGGAGAUCAGAUUUUUGCGAAAAGUGCAGUUAUCAUCGAUUUAACUUGACUCGGGCUGAACAAUCACCUUGGUGAGUCAUCAUGCAACAGCACAGAAUCUUGUUUUGGCUGGAAUUCCAACCUCAUGUAAUGGUCUCGUACAUUACACCUCUCAUCAAAUGUCAUUACACUUUCCAUGCUUGAAAGCACCUACAAUCAUGCUUUUCUUCAUCAACAACCACAGGCAUAUCAUAAAUAGAUAUGGACACUGUGACUGGAAACUGAACUUUUGCUACUCCAAAUGGAACACAUUUGAUGAUUUUGCCACAGCUCUCACCGACAAUGGUGAUUAAAAGGAGCUUACUUCAGUAAGGGGUGAAACAUCAUGGGUGCCAUAUCUAUCACCCCGGUAAAGCUUACUGAUUCGGUAUAGCUGUGGUAUGCUAAGCACCUGAAAGCUUACAACACGAGUUACAUGUACCCAACAGACGUGAUAAUGAGUGACUGUACUUAACAGAGUUCAAACACCACUUACAGGGCAGAAAUGGCAGGUGAUUUCUUCCAAUGUUUUCUUCUCUUUUUCACGCAUACUCUAGUAAGUCAAUUCGUUAGGUUAUCCACUCAGCAACUUGCAAAACAAACGCCCCGUCAAUAUAGAACACUUACAAGGAAUAAAGCAGCCGUUCUAAUGUGCUUCAAUUCUUCCCAGGAAGAACCUACAUACUGUGUACCACAUAUCAUUAGCUUACAAAUUAAACAAGCUGGGGGCGGGGUGGAGGGAUGGAGAGAGAGAGAGAGAGACCUGUUCAGUCUCAUAAAUGCACCACUGUUCUAACUUAGCUAAUCCAGCUUUGACAUAUUCUCCGUCAGUUAACGAACAGCACUGAGAUAGGAGCACUCUACAGGAUAAGGAGCAUUGCAAGAUUAUUAUUAGUAUCUUCAAAUAGUUAAGAAUCUUAAUUUAAAGUGUAUAAUAAUGCUAAAAUCUUACUUAUUGAAUAACUGGGCAUCAAUAGAUGAAAACACUUGAGUGAAUAUCUUGCUGAUUAAGAAUGAUGGGACCUGUACAAUUAGUAGAAGCCAUGUCAAUGCAUCCACUUACUUAAAACAUUAUACUCCCUCCAAUCCAUAUUUUGUCGCUAAUUUAGUACAACUUUGUACUAAAUCAGCGACAAUUAAUAUGAGUCAGAGGGAGUACAUGAUUACUCAUAGUUCGGUUGCAUACAUGAUUGGCUUUCAAAACAUGCAAGUAGUCUGUUAAUAGAUUGACAAUACUCUGCCAAUGGUCAAACAGUGCUUGACAUAAUGUUGUUGGUGCCUGAAAAAGAAGUGUCAGCAAAACAAAAGCACGAUGUUAUCUUACUUUAUAAAACAUAAUGCAUUACAGUCCAUUAGCCAUGCCUCGAUGCAACACCCAAGCAACGGAGAUAUCUCUUUCACCAAAUUAUCUCUUAUCAUUCCAUAAACCUUCUCAAGGAAACCUCUGAGCUGUCCCUUGAAAACCAGAGCAGGAUUUUUUGCUUCAACUUUCUGAAGAUCAUGAUUGCCUCCAAUCAAGUGGCUACCACCAGAAGCUCGGUUUCUCUAAUUUUUUCAGAAGCACUGAAUUAACAAAUUUAAAACUAUAAAUCUAGAGUACUAAAAGUAAAAGCUGGAGAGAAUAAAGAUGCUUUACCCCGAAUAUUAUAUCAAGCAUUUCAGAAAUUUGAAUUCCUCUCCGAGGAGUGAAUCUACCUUCUCUAGCUGUUUUAAAUGCUUGCUGCAUAAGCAGGAGUAAUGUCGAUGAAUUGGAGAGCCAGUAUGCUGACAUAUCAUUGCCCUGAGCCUGUGGGAAGGAAUAAGUUGACUUAACUACAUCAAAUACCAUAAAUAAUGUUGUUACUGCAUUUAAAUUUUGUACUCCCACAUCAAUACUCUGUUUUCUCAGUGUCUGUUAUGCAGAACGAUAUGAUGAUUCAUAAACAAAUCAUUCUAGGCAAACAAAUUCAAAUGUAUAAUUAUCCAAAGAAGAUGGGUAUCUUGGUUUCAUCUUUUGUCCUUAACCAUUAAUCAUUUUUAUUAUUACUACUGCUGUUGAUACUCCUGCAAUUACAGAGAGGAUUUUGUGUUGCAUUUGUGUGUGCGAGCACUACGAGAAAGUCAUAUAUUAUAAAAAAUAUCAGAAAUAAUCAUACAUUUGGAACAGGUUAGACCAUGUGCGCCCCAAAUUUUUUGAUGCAGAUUAAUGGUUGAGAUUACAGGUUACCUCUUCAGUUAAGAGGGCAAUAUGGUAUUUUAUACGUGGUGGUUUCCUUAAGAGAAUUAGUUGGUGGAUUUGGUUUAAACUUGAAUCAUUUAGGUCCACAAUGCAGAUUACAAUCAGUGGAACUAUAUGCGUAGGAAGCCAAACCAGCAACCAGCCCAUACACAUGUAUAAAAGUACCAGAUUUAAUUGGUUGACCAUGGAUUUUUUUUAGAGCACACCAAUGGUUGAGCAUGGAUCACACUGACGUAAACCCACAGGUUUUUGUGAGUAAUGUAUAAAGAAACAACUUAAUGAAAACUGUAAUCAUAGGUGAUGUUUACCUUUACUAUACCAAACAUGCUCGCUGUCCGGGGGAUGGACCCCGGGCAGGCAACGGAACCCGGAUCCUCUUCAAAAACAACGGGGCUGGCACCGCCCCUCAAUACCGGCACGCGCUUGGCCGGGUCGCUCGACCCGGCCAAGCCCCGCAAGCCGGCCAGACUAGCCGAUCCGGCAAGACACGUCGACUCGGCCUCAACAACUGGCACAAGACAGCCGAACCCGGCACGACCGAAGCCUCCUCAACAAGCCAGCGCCACCCAUGGCGUGCUACGCAAUCCAGCCGCGGGUCAACUCCCGUCCCAUCCAGGCCGUAUGAUGGGGACGAGACUUCAAUCAACGAUGACCGAGGCAAUAGUGCCCCGUCCAUGCCUCAGGUCAGUAGGAACGUGGAAAUAGUGCCCCUCGCCUACCCGCUGACCAGGGCCGGUGUGGCAACAGUGCCCCCACCCUCACCGCUGAUGACAGCAAGCGGCAACCUGACGGAGAGCACUGUACGCGACUCAACUCGGCCACGCCCUGACGAUCGACAAGACGGCGCACAGUCCCCCUAGGCUUGCGGGGCCCGCACCUAGGGGAACCCGGCGAACCACAAGCCCUCAGCGGGACCCAGCCCGGGUCCCCGGACACCGACAACACGGACCCACCGACUUAUAACAUUACCAUUGUACCCCCGGGGGUUGGACAAUAAAAACCCCGAGAGCCCACGAUCAUUCGGGGGGCGAGCAAGAGGACUACCACAAAACAGCAACACCAGAGAGAAGGAGCAGCCCAAGCCUUGGCCACCUUCCUUCCUCCUCCAUACAGCUCCAGGAGCAACAUUGUACUAUCGAUCAUCCAACUAUACUCGGCAGGACUAGGGGUAUUAUCUCUCCGGAGAGCCCCGAACCUGGGUAUGUCCGGCGUCCCGCGCCCGCUCAUGCCAACCUCGCCUCUGGAGUCCACCAGCGCCCUCGAGCCUCCUCCUCUCUUUAGCCAUCCCUUGGCAUCUGCCGUGCGCCCACCACGACAGUUGGCGCCCACCGUGGGGCGACUUGAGGAGCUGGCCGGGAGCAUGUUUCAGACGGGGCCCUUCUCCUACGCCGACGAGUCUGUCGCGCUGGCGGACGACAUCGUCGGCGCGCUUGUCGCCUCCUUCGCCGCGCUGCGCAUCUCCGAUGCGUGCGCGGCCGACGACUACCCAGCGAGGUGCUCAGCUACUCCGACUCUCCCCUCUCCCUCGGCGGCGGCGUUUUCGCCGGGGCAAUGGACGUCCAUGUGGAGGUCUUCGUCACCGGCGAUGGCGCCUCCUCCUCGUCGAGCAAGACGAGGAAGGCUGCCGAAGCCAGGGCCGCAGCGGAUCGGAUCGAGCCGUCUGAUCCGUUGCGCGCCGCGAUGCAGAGCCUCCGCAUCCCCAUCGGCACCGACGUCGAUGCCACCAACGUCGCUGAGGCCCGAACCUAGCUCGAGGAAAGGCGCCAGCAGAUGCUGGACCUAUUUGAGACGCUCGCCACUCAGCGUCGCCUGGACGCCGCUCAGCUGGAGCGCGACGCCGCCUACGGAUUCACGCCCGCCGCGGCCGAGCCAAGCCGGGUCGCUGAUGUGCGUGCCCGGGGAGGAGCGAUCGGCCGGGCCCUCGGUGCUGCCCCAACCGUCUACGAGACCCCAGCGAAGAACAUGCGCGCUGCCCAGGCAGCCGCAGUCGGCCUGGACCAGCUCGCGGGUGAGGAGCUGAAAGAGCGCAUCGGGCGGAUGCGUGAACUCCUCCACGCCGCCAACACCCAGUAGGACCGCCUCAACCAGCUCGCCAAGCCGGCGGGAUCCGGCUCCGCCCGCCUUGGCAGGCCCGGCGAACUUCUGCACACCACUUCCUCGCCACCCGGCGAGGCGCACUCCAGCCGAGCCCGGACUCGGCGCGACCCGGCUGCUACAGCCGCCGACGGAUUGGGCGACGAGCCCAUCCUAGAGAUCCAGCGCGGACCCGGCCAGCAUGGCCGGCGUCCGGCUCCAACCGACCCGGCCCCCCGUGGCCUGGCCGCAAGUCGAUUCGGCCUGCGCGCCAUCGACGACGCCGACGCUCGCCACCGCCUCGAUCAGCUCGCUCGCUCCCUGAAGGUGGAGGAGAGCGGCGCUAUCGGGCCGGCGUGCUUCGGCCCGCGCAUCCGGGAGGAGCCCUUCCCCAAAGGAUUCAUGCUCCCCGCGACACCCCCAAGUACAACGGGACGGUGAAGCCAGAAGACUGGCUCACCGACUACACCACGGCCAUUGGCAUCACCGGUGCCAAUCGUCGUCUCGCCGUGCGCUACGAACCGCUCAUGCUCCAAGGGUCAGCCCGCACGUCGUUGAACAACCUGCCGAUUGGCAGCAUCAACACGUGGGUGGAUUUCGAGGAAGCCUUCGUCCGCAACUUCACGGGGACCUAUAAGCGACCCGGCCGCCCUAGCCAGCUCGCCAUGUGCGUGCAAGGGCCUACGGAGACCGGUUGCGAGUACCUCGCACGCUGGACCGAGCUCCGGAACAGCUGCGAGGGCGUCCACGAAGUCCAGGCGAUCCAGUACUUCGUCAGCGGGUGCCGAGACGGCACCCUCCUCAAGCACAAGCUCUUACGCUCCGAGCCGGCCACCAUGGCCGCGCUCAUGGUGACGGCGGACAAGUACGCCAACGCCGACUCCGUCAUGAAGAUCAAGGUGGCGCUGGAUGAAGCCGGCAAGGCGAAGCCGGUUCCCCCUCCGAAGCCGGCCGGCGAAAGCAGCCGGCAGCAGCAUCACCAGAACAACAAGCGCAAGGCCGACCAGCCGGCGCCUCGUCACGACAACCGGCUCGUCGCGACCACCGAGCCCGCGGCGGACCCGGCGGCGAAACGCCGGCAAGACGGCAUGGCCACCCGCUGUGACGUCCGAAUAAUCAAGCUACAGUAAACCUCUGCUAAAAGUGCCACGUCAACUCGGUUACUGUUGAUAACUGGAGUUGGUUCAAAAACGAUUCAAAUUAAAAUCUAAAAUAUAGGCAAACAAUAAAAGUUUUUCUAAAUUUAAAACAAAAAUGCUCGGGGUGUGCAAAUAAAUGCCUAGGAAUUUAUGGUGUGUGAUCCAUGCUUUUAUAAAAGACCUAAAUACUUAAAAUGAAUUAAAACAGAAAAGAAAUUAAAAGAUAAAAGAAAAACAAAAAAACAAAAGGAUAUAUCCCCAGCUCCCAUGGGCCUCGGCCCAUCCCAACCCAAGUCGGCCACCCCCCCACCAGGCCGGCCCAACCACGCCAGCUACUCCCCCCCCCCACUUCCACAAACCCUAACCGACACCCCCCACUCCCCCACUCGCUCCCCGCACGCCUCUCUCCCCCCUUUCCCCGCCUGGAUCGGGGCAGAGGGCUCCGACCCCUUCGCCACGCCGCCGCCGAGCCUGCGGCCACUACGCCGGAGCCCGCCCNNNNNNNNNNNNNNNNNNNNNNNNNNNNNNNNNNNNNNNNNNNNNNNNNNNNNNNNNNNNNNNNNNNNNNNNNNNNNNNNNNNNNNNNNNNNNNNNNNNNNNNNNNNNNNNNNNNNNNNNNNNNNNNNNNNNNNNNNNNNNNNNNNNNNNNNNNNNNNNNNNNNNNNNNNNNNNNNNNNNNNNNNNNNNNNNNNNNNNNNNNNNNNNNNNNNNNNNNNNNNNNNNNNNNNNNNNNNNNNNNNNNNNNNNNNNNNNNNNNNNNNNNNNNNNNNNNNNNNNNNNNNNNNGCCCUGACGCCACCGCCGCGCGGAGCUCGCCGUCGUCCUCCCCGUCCUCUCCCUCGCCGGAGCCGCCCAUCGUCACCGUCGUCGUCUACCUCGUCCUCCUCCUCGAGCACACUGUCGUUCCCCUACACCGCAAGUGAGGCCCGACCUCUCCUCCUCCCCCCUGUUGCCCGAGCUCGCUGGAGCUCGUAACCCCCACCGCUGCAUGCACUCCCUCGCUCCACCGCGCGCGCCCCGGCGGCCCUGAACGCGCCCACGGUCGCCCCCCUGCUACCCGUCUCCCUCGCUCACCCCGCACGCUGCGAUCCCUGCCCCUGUUUUCCCCUGCUCUGCUCCGCCUCCAGCCGCGACCGAGUCCGCAUGGCCCGCCUCCCCUGCUCCUGUGGACGCCGAGCCUCCCCACCGGCCCCGGCGCGAGCCCUCGCUGUCGUUGCGCCACCGCAACCGCCGUGCGCACGCACACCCGCACUUCGUCGCCCACCGCUGCCUUCCCCCUACCACGUCGCGCUCGUCGCCGUCCCUGGUGUUGGCGCUGUCGUCCCGUGCCCCGCCUCCGCCUCUGGCCCCGCAGGCCACCGCCACGCCGGCGGCUAGUUCUGGCACCCCGCGGCGCCCCGGGUCUGCCCUUCGGGUGCAAACGCCCGGGUGCCCGCUGCCCGUUUCGCCCGCUAGGCCCCCAGGGGCCUAUGACAAAGGGGUCCCGCACCCCAGAACGAUUAAAAAAAAGAAUGAUUUAAAAAAAAUUAAUUAAUAAAAAUUAAUAAAUAAAUAAAUAAAUAAAUAAAGAAAAUAAAAAUAAGAAUAAGAAUAAUUAAUUAAUUAGUAAAUUAAUUAGUUAACUAACCCUGUUUAGAUUAAUCUAAUUUAAUUAAUUAGUUUAAUUAAUAGUUAAUUAAUUAGUUAACCCUAAUUACCCUAAUCAGUCUAUGACAUGUGGGACCCACGUGUCAGAUGACUGCUGACGUCAGCAUGAUGUCAUGCUGAUGUCAUCACAACACUGUUUCGGAUAAUGUAUAUAUUAAAUAAUUAAAUAAAUUCCAGAAAUUAAUUUAAAUCUUUUAAAAUUCAUAUAAAAUAAACCGUAGCUCGGAUGAAAAUACUUUGUACAUGAAAGUUGCUCAGAACGACGAGACGAAUCCAGAUACGCAGCCCGUUCGUCCGCCACGCGUCCCUAGCAUAGUGAACCUGUAACAUUUCACCUCCGGUUCAUCUGUCCGAAAACGCGAAACACCGGGAAUACUUUCCCGGAUGUUCCCCCCCUUCGCCGGUACCACCUACUGCCGCGUUAGGGCACACCUAGCACCGCUCGUUGUCAUGUCACGCAUCGUCAUGCUUAUGUUUGCAUUGUAUUUACUGUUUCUUCCCCCCUCUUCUCUCCGGUAGACUACGAGACCGACGCUGCUGCUGCCCAGUUCGACUACGGAGUUGACGACCCCUCCUACUUGCCAGAGCAACCAGGCAAGCCCCCCCCUUGAUCACCAGAUAUCGCCUAUUCUUCUCUAUACUGCUUGCAUUAGAGUAGUGUAGCAUGUUACUGCUUCCCGUUAAUCCUAUCCUGAUGCAUAGCAUGUCAUUGUUGCUACAGUUGUUACCCUUACCUGCUAUCCUACUGCUUAGAAUAGGAUGCUAGUGUUCCAUCAGUGGCCCUACACUCUUGUCCGUCUGCCAUGCUAUACUACUGGGCCGUGAUCACUUCGGGAGGUGAUCACGGGUAUAUACUAUAUACAUUAUAUACAUGACACAUGUGGUAACUAAAGUCGGGUCGGCUCGAGGAGUACCCGCAAGUGAUUCUGAUGAGGGGGCUGAAAGGACAGGUGGCUCCAUCCCGGUAGAGGUGGGCCUGGGUUCCUGACGGCCCCCGACUGUUACUUUAUGGCGGAGCGACAGGGCAAGUUGAGACCACCUAGGAGAGGGGUGGGCCUGGCCCUGGUCGGUGUUCGCGGAUACUUAACACGCUUAACGAGAUCUUGGUAUUUGAUCUGAGUCUGGCCAUUUGGUCUAUACGCACUAACCAUCUACGCGGGAGUAGUUAUGGGUAUCCCGGCGUCGUGGUAUCAGCCGAAGCCUUCGUGACGUCAGCGACUGAGUGGCGCGCGUCGUGUUGGACCGCUUUGAUGUAACCGCCGUGAUCGUGUGGGUUGCUAGGUCUGCUCGCGGCCGCGUUCGCAACGUGCAGGUGUGCAUAGGGCGAUGGGCCCAGACCCCUGCGCGCUUAGGAUUAGACCGGCGUGCUGACCGCUCUGUUGUGCUUAGGUAGGGCUGCGACGCGUUGAUCUUACGAGGCCGGGCAUGACCCAGAAAAGUGUGUCCGGCCAAAUGGGAUCGAGCGUGUUGGGUUAUGUGGUGCACCCCUGCAGGGAAGUUUAUCUAUUCGAAUAGCCGUGUCCCUCGGUAAAAGGACGACCCGGAGUUGUACCUUGACCUUAUGACAACUAGAACCGGAUACUGAAUAAAAUACACCCUUCCAAGUGCCAGAUACAACCCGGUGAUCGCUCUCUAACAGGGCGACGAGGAGGGGAUCGCCGGGUAGGAUUAUGCUAUGCGAUGCUACUUGGAGGACUUCAAUCUACUCUCUUCUACAUGCUGCAAGAUGGAGAUGGCCAGAAGCGUAGUCUUCGACAGGACUAGCUAUCCCCCUUUUAUUCUGGCAUUCUGCAGUUCAGUCCACUGAUAUGCCCCUUUACACAUAUACCCAUGCAUAUGUAGUGUAGCUCCUUGCUUGCGAGUACUUUGGAUGAGUACUCACGGUUUCCUUUCUCCCUCUUUUUCCCCCUUUCCUUCUAUCUGGUUGUCGCAACCAGAUGCUGGAGUCCAGGAGCCAGACGCCACCGUCGACGAUGACUCCUACGACACUGGAGGUGCCUACUACUACGUGCAGGCCGCUGACGACGACCAGGAGUAGUUAGGAGGAUCCCAGGCAGGAGGCCUGCGCCUCGUUCGAUCUGUAUCCCAGUUUGUGCUAGCCUUCUUAAGGCAAACUUGUUUAACUUAUGUCUGUACUCAGAUAUUGUUGCUUCCGCUGACUCGUCUGUGAUCGAGCACUUGUAUUCGAGCCCUCGAGGCCCCUGGCUUGUAUUAUGAUGCUUGUAUGACUUAUUUAUGUUGUAGAGUUGUGUUGUGAUAUCUUCCCGUGAGUCCCUGAUCUUGAUCGUACACAUUUGCGUGCAUGAUUACUGUACAGUCAAAUCUGGGGCGUCACAAGUUGGUAUCAGAGCCAACUGCCUGUAGGAAUCCCCCUUUCCACACUCCUUGGCCGAAGUCGAGUCUAGACAUUACAAAAACUUUUACUAACAUGGUUGUGUGUCUUACGGGCCCACGUCGCCAUUGGGUGGUACUAGGAUCUUUUACUCUUCGACCUUUACUCUGGGACUCUGAACUCUCUUCUAUUCGGGUUAAGUGAAUUUUGCUAAAUCUAACAUUAGGAUCUCGUUAUCACUUUCACCCGGAGAGCCCCUUAUUACUGAUGACCGUCUGUUGCACGUGAAGACCCUGAAGAUACUCUCCGCUGAUAACCCGAGAACUUGUGUUCAUCGCUUUUGCAAUUCCCUUUCAUCGAUAAACUCCUAUGGAUAACCACGUAUACUCGCCAUUCAUACAAUGUUUCCCAGAUGAUCUUGUUAUUACAAGAUACCCCGAAAUUCUCUCUGUUGUUCCGAGAAUCCUUUGAGCUUACUACCUUGCUGUUCAUUGUCACCUGAAUACCCCUACGGAUAAUCCUCGCACUUGCCGAGUAUCCGCUCAUCCCCAGUGGAUUCAAGUAUAUCACAAAAGUGUUCAGAAUACCAUUCGAUCUUCCAAAAAUCCUCAGGAGCCUAUUGCUCUUGAAAUUCUUGCUUACUAGCAUUAUGAUUAAUCCCAUAAGUCUCGAAAUCUUAUUGGCACCCCUUGUCAUUAUCUUUUUGAGUCCAUUGAUUCAAUAUGUUGCGAAUGCUCGCAAUCCUCAAUCAGAUCCUAGAAUUCAUCCUUCCGGCUCAGACAUCAUUUUUAACAUGAGCUGGAUCUCGACCUAUCAAAUUGCCAUCGAUUGUACCCCUAAGCCUACUCAACUUAUCCAUCCUUGAUCAGAGCGUUGCUUCUGACCCCCUGAUAUGGAAAUCAUAAUUCUUUUGCAUUGAACUUUGAGUUAGUCAGUUGUUUCUAUAAUCAGAUCUCCUUGCAUUCUUCUUCCUCUGGUUGAGUACCGAUGCUCACAUCAGAUCCCUUGUGGACCAUCGGUUCCUUUGUUGGAUUUUAUCCGACAGUGUCCUUCAUAUUGAAUAACCUUGUGAGCCUUUCCAUGGGUAUAUAAUGCAUUUGGUAAAUUGUAUCAUCUGUUUUUGAACAAUGCUCUUCUUUCGAGCUUGUAAUAUUUACUCCGAAGUUUGUGGUAUAUGUUCCUAAGAUGCCUUGAUGGGUUGAACCUAUACCUUUCAUAAUAUGUGUGAACUCGAAAGUUUUCAUGAGUCAUACUCUUCUGGUAUUUUGCCAGAUAAAAUUUCAACACUACAACUUCUUUGAAAAAUGAGAAGUGAAUGAAAGGUUAUGCAUUGGAGAAGUGGGAGUCGACCUUGAACUUUGCGUUCAUGCCCAUGGACACGAUGUAGAUCUUAUCAUUAAAGCUUUUCUCAAAUUAAUUAUUCCCUUGGUAUAAGUUCAUCUUAUAUCUGAGAUCUGACAUUUUGCAAUCGUGGUUCCAACCAUGUUCUCUUUUAAAUACCAUUUCUCGUGCAAGUUUAAGCACUUGUCUUCUGCAGAGCAAUACCCCAGUCCAACCUCUACUUUGGUUUGUCGUCGAGUAUUACCCCCCUGGUAUCUCGAGAUUAUCACGGAACUGCAUAACUUAUUAUGAGUUCUCCAUCAAGUAUUACAUUCUCAUUGAUUCCAAUUUUUCACAGGCUCGGAGUUAUUAAACACUCAAGGACAUCGAUAAUUGAAUCGAGUCCGCACUACGGUUCAACAACUUUUAGUAAUGUUCCUUACUUACGAGUUUGUACCCGAUCGCGUCAUUCCUAGCCUGUUUGGCUAUAUCAUUAUCUUGAUGAUUUUAACUGUGCUACCUGGUCCUUAUUCCCGGAGCACCACUUUCGACGAUGAGCUGAGCUUACGUCGAUUUUCCUCGUCAUAUCGUUUCACCUCGAACAACAAACUUGCCCCGAGUUUGUGUAGUAUCCGUGGCUCCAAUAAUCUUUUGUUGCAUCAGUCCUUUUGCUUGAUGCAGUCGCUGAUCAAUUGCUUCUUCGUGGAUCCCCUCGACAACAAAAUGUCGUGAUCACCAUCAACAUUUUGAGCUCUUCCAGGAUAUCAGUCGAAAUUCAGGAUGAGAAAUACCAUCCUUGCCCCUCGAUGAUUUGUGUUAUCAUCGGCAACGUUAUUGCCCCCCCUCCAAGUCAGACUUGAUCAUGUUAUGGAGCUCUUUACUAUCUAGCUGAUGUUAUGUUCUACAUUGAAGUAUUACUGUCCUUCAUGUCAAGGAUGUUGUGAGGAUUGCCCCACCUCUUAAGAAUUCCUGAUAUAGUAAUACUUCUCGUCAUCUACAUUCAUUUCUAGGUUCACGUGUUGAUUCUAACCGGGAUACCAACAGGUGAACUGUGUUGUUUGGAUUCUGCCCUUCUAGCAACCUUAUUCCUUUGAAGUUAAUGGUCGGCCGUUCAUUCUUAGACUAUUGAUUAUGGAAUCACCAUUCCGACGUUGGUCGUGCAACCCAUCCCAUAUUUCGGGUGCACCUUUCAACCAAUGUUUAAUUGGGUAUGUUCUCCUCGAGCAUACCUCAUUAUAUCAUUCGAUCUAGCAAAUGUUAUCUCCUUGGUCACUUAGUUGUGGAAAUCCAUCUUUUGGAAAUCUCAAUGGGUUGUCGCUGAGACAAUCAGCCACCUCCUCAUCCUCUCGUUGGUAUACUGAUGGACUCUUGUUUCGGAACUCGCUUCCAUAGUUCGUUUCCCGAGAAUCUUACAAUGUCAUCUCGUCAAUUGGUGUUGCACCUUUUUCUUCUUAGGCAUCCUAAGUCUGAGGAAUCGUGACACCAAUCAGAUCUGAAUCUCGGUCAGAUAUGAUGGUUGGAACAUAUUUCCAAGAGUUAUAACAUUGGUCUCUACAUAACUCGAUAAGGUGGUGUCUUUGCUUAGCACCCCUAGCCAGAGGACCUUUUGUUAUAAUUUCCUUUUUAGCAAGGUUAACCAUUCUCCCAUGAGGAAAUUGUAAGACUUAUUCUACAAGUUAUUCCUGAUGGAUCCUUCCUGUAUCCAAAGUCUGACCUUUGCUUGAAUACAUUGCCAAUGCUAUCUCAAAGCAUGUCACUGGUACUCCAAUUUUCAAUAAGAACAUUUGAAGCACAAUGCUAAAUUUUCUUUAUCAAUUAUCCAUACACCGUUGUAUGGGUAAUGGCAUAAAAUUUCUCUCCUCUUUCCUAAAGGGUUUUCUACGUUAUAUCCCGACAUGGAUAUCAUGCUCUGCUUACCCUUGGGAAGAAUAUACCCUUGAAAUAUGUGUUUAAACACACUUUCCUUUCCAUUGUUCUGUUUAAUCUGAUAAUGAUAUUUUCCUUUCCAUUCUUUUGUUUAACCCUUCUUGAGUUCUAUAUGAUCUAAGCAGUAAUAUUCUCCUGCUUAUGUAAACACCUCGGUGUACCAUUCUGUCAGCAAGACCCUGUUACUAUUGUUGAUGACAUCCCGGUAGCCACCGAUGGACGAGAACUUUGCCUAAUGGUCCGCCUCGUUUCAACGAGCAGGAAAAUGGUUCUCUUCGUCCCUCGCCCUUGGUACCAACGUGUUGCCGACAUAACUCACAGGGUAUUCUCUGACAUGCCUUGCUAUCAUGACCGUGCAAGAUGUCACUGCUCCUAUAAAAAAACCACAUGGUGGGCCCAUAACCCACAGUUCCACAGGAUCGAAACCUGACUCUCCUAUACACCCUGUUGUCGAAGUUAUUCCUCGAGCUUGACUUCGUAUGUGAUUCACGGGCCACCUGCCUAGUGAUCUAUUCUGGUACCAGACAUAAUACUUAUUCCGAUUGCUUUGAACCCCCUUUCACACUUUGUUUCAGGCUUCGAACGAUUGCCUACCCGUUUGAAACUUCUCAUGUUACUUUCUUACUUUCUCUCGACUUUUUCUUAAGAUUUAGUUCGAGAGUUACUUUCCGCCACCUUCCCCGAUAAUAUUGACCAGAUAGUCAACCUUGCAGAGGUCCGUUCUCCUAGAAUACCCCCUUAUUCUUUCAUACGUACGAUGGAGUUCCCGAAGAAAGGACGACAACUUCAUCAUGAUGACCUGAAAUAGCAGAAUGAAGACAUCAACGUAAUGGAUCAACCUCUUCGAGAAGAGCAACCAAGACCAAGAACACUCCGUAGAAUUUCGUAACCCGAACCUUUCCCCUUUACUUCCCUCUUAAAUCUUGGGACGAGAUUUCUUGUAGUGGAGGAGAAUUGUGACGUCCGGAUAAUCAAGCUACAGUACACCUCUGCUAAAAGUGCCACGUCAACUCGGUUACUGUUGAUAACUGGAGUUAGAUCAAAAACGAUUCAAAUUAAAAUCUAAAAUAUAGGCAAACAAUAAAAGUUUUUCUAAAUUUAAAACAAAAAUGUUCGGGGUGUGCAAAUAAAUGCCUAGGAAUUUAUGGUGUGGGAUCCAUGCUUUUAUAAAAGACCUAAAUACUUAAAAUGAAUUAAAACAGAAAAGAAAUUAAAAGAUAAAAGAAAAACAAAAAAUCAAAAGGAUAUAUCCCCAGCUCCCAUGGGCCUCGGCCCAUCCCAACCCAAGUCGGCCACCCCCCCACCAGGCCGGCCCAACCACGCCANNNNNNNNNNNNNNNNNNNNNNNNNNNNNNNNNNNNNNNNNNNNNNNNNNNNNNNNNNNNNNNNNNNNNNNNNNNNNNNNNNNNNNNNNNNNNNNNNNNNNNNNNNNNNNNNNNNNNNNNNNNNNNNNNNNNNNNNNNNNNNNNNNNNNNNNNNNNNNNNNNNNNNNNNNNNNNNNNNNNNNNNNNNNNNNNNNNNNNNNNNNNNNNNNNNNNNNNNNNNNNNNNNNNNNNNNNNNNNNNNNNNNNNNNNNNNNNNNNNNNNNNNNNNNNNNNNNNNNNNNNNNNNNNNNNNUGUUGAGGAUAUAGACCUUAGAGUCACCCGCCAGGAGGGGCCGGGUUACUCAUAUGGUCAUUACCAGAAGCCCGGCGCCAAUCUUGAAGACGGUGGGCCAAAGAUGGGCUUAAGACCCGGAUAUGGCUUAAGGCCCGUAGUUACAAUCAUUAUUAUGGUAGAACUUGUAGUGUAAGGCAAGAAUAGUUGAGAGUCCGAGCCGGACACUCUUAUGAGCCGGCCGGGACUCCGAGCGCUGCUGGGCGUCAGCCUCCCUAUAUAAAGGGACGACCCGGCAGCGGUUUAGGGACGACAACAAUCUGAUCGAGAGCCGGGCAUAGCAGUUUAGCUUCCUGGCGAUCGUAACCCUAAUCAAUACCACCUCAAACUGGACAUAGGCUUUUACCUUCACCGUAAGGGGCCGAACCAGUAUAAACCCUCGUGUUCCUUGUCCCGCAUAACCUCUUCAAGCUUCCUAGCUGCGAUGGCUCCACGACUAAGUCCUAGUUCGAGGACAUCUGCCGUGACAAUUCCACGACAGUUGGCGCCCACCGUGGGGCUUGAACCCACGACCACAAGGUUAAGAGCCACAUCGACGAUGCAAACUGGGGCCCCGACGCCGGCUCAAUUGAGUACGGGUACCGGGUCCCCUUCGGCGGAAUUCAUGUUUUCAUUGGCAAGAUUGGUGAGCCGGGCCCUGAGCCGGAUCUCUGCGCCGAUCUCAUCGAGACGGCUCAGCGUGCAUGACCCGCCCGGGCCCGGCCUGCCUUAAGGCGCGCGUUUGUGGGAUGUAUCCAUGGAGGGGCCUCUGAUCUAUCUGGGUCUGGUGAUGAGGCGGCCGCCGGCUCUGACGGCGAGUCGGCCACCGAUGAGUCAAACUCGUUGUAUCAACUUCAAGAUGGCAUGCUCAUGGGUUGUUCCGAUGGUGACAGUAUUCCGGACCCGUUUGAGCCGUCAAGUCAGGUUGGAGUCUUUAUGGCUGGCGCGCAGCCUGUUCAGAACCCCGCUGCUGGAGCGGGAAACCCGGUGCCUUCUCCGGCUCAGGUGCUGAUGGAUCUCACGGACAAGAUGACGGCCCUGUUAACCGCCACGGUUGACCCGGUGGAUCAAGCUCAGGAUGAUGCGGAGGUGGCACAGUUAAAAUUGGAUCUAGUGAAAGCUAAGGAGGAGCUUGCAACGGAAGGAAUCAGGAUGGCUGCAGAGAGGGCGGCUCUCGAUGCCCAAACUCAGCUGAUCCAGGCGCAGUCCUUCCAACUCACGAUGGACCAGAACGCGUCCAAUGAGGUCAUGAGAAGGAGGCAUCAAAAGACCCAAUCUCGACUCCCUCCGGUUUAUGAUCCACGCAACCUCUUUAACACGCCAGGUGCAGGGUCUAGUAACCCGCCAGGGGUCAUAGUGCCCGGGUCUGGAGCCCCUAUUCAGCCACGGGUGAUGGGGCCUCCCCAGGUGCCCCCUGCCCCACCUCAGCACGUGCCAAUACCCCCGGGUCAUUAUAAUAACCCGCUGGAGAACAUGGUCGCUGCGGCAGCACGGCUGGCGGCUCUCCCAGUUGACGGUGACUCUCCGACGGCUAUCGAAACCCGCCGGGUCAGGGAACUCCUUCAGACAGCACUGGCGCAGCAAGAGGCGUACUCCUACAGCCGGGACAGGAUCCACUCGACCCCUCGUCCAGGCCAGAGCCCGAGUUACAGCUGGCACAUGGUCUCAGCGACCGGCUCAAGUAACGUCCGACGCCAUGACCCGCCCCCUGGCCACGGCCCGGCUCAUAAUGGAGCCUUUCACGCAGCAGACCAGGUCAGAGCGCGGCAAGAGGCGGAGCAAGUGCCUCAAUUGACGGCUUACCAGACCCCCCCCCCCAGCUUAUCCGACGACUUCCGUCGACGUGGGUAUCCCUACCAGGACCGGGGGUGUCCCUUGUUUAGUGCCAGCUAUCCGUAAUGAACGUCUACCUAAGGACUUCAAGGGCCCUAGGAAGGUGCCUAAUUAUACAGCUGACUUACAACCCGCAGCCUGGAUCAAGAGUUACGAGAUGGCCAUGGAACUGCUGGAGGUCAGUGAGGCGGCAAUGGCUAAGUAUUUCACCAUGAUGUUAGAUGGGACUGCCCGCACUUGGUUGAAAGGGCUGCUGCCGAAUUCCAUUGGGUCUUGGGCUGAGCUGAAGACCCGCUUCAUCCAAAACUUCAAAGAUACCUGUAGGCAGUCUAUGUCAAUUGUGGAUUUGACUAACUGUAAGCAGCAGGAGGGUGAGUCUACGACGCAUUGGGUUCGCCGGGUUAAGGAGAUCAUACACUCGUCAGACAAGAUGGAUGCCGGCUCAGCAGUUUUAAUGCUGGAGCAGAAUUGUCGUUUUGUGCCCCUGAAGAUGAAACUCGGGCGGCUUAAGCGCGACUGCAGUGAUAUGGGUACACUAAUGGCGGCUCUUGUCAAGUACGCCGAUUCUGAUGGUACCAAGGAUCCCCCUUCAGAUGAUGAAAGGACAGGGAAGGGAAAGAAGAAUGGCAAUGGCAAGGGUCCUCAGCAUAACCCGGGGAACCAAGGAGGAGGCAAGCGCAAGGCAGAUGGCAGCCUAGAGUUUGUAGCCAAUGCCAACUCACAAGGGAAUAACCAGCGACGUAAGGGGAGACCUCCUCCCCGAGGCGGCGGGUCAGGCCCGACGCUGGAGCAGCCGUUGAAUGAGCCUUGUCCAAGGCACGGCUCUAGAGAGAAGCCAGCGACUCAUCUAUGGAAGGACUGUGCAAUCAUGAAGGCCUUUAAGAAUUACAAUGGCCCGGGCGGCGGCUCAGGCGCCGGCGGUUUUCAUGGCCCGGGCGGCGGCUCAAAUUCUAAUCCUCAGAACGGUCAAGGGGGCUUCAAUCAACAGUCUGGCCAGGGUCAUCAACAGCAGCAGGGGGGUUAUCAGACCAAUCCAAAGCAGCUUAGCGGUGGACAGUACCAUGUGUUUACCACCAGCCUGUGUAAGCGAGAUCAGAAGCUUCAUAAGAGGGUUGUGAAUGCUGUAGAGCCGGCGGUUCCACGCUACUUGCGGUGGUCUGAGCAGCCUAUAGUGUGGAGUAGGGAGGAUCACCCUCCCCGGGUGGAUAACCCGGGCCACUUGGCCCUAGUGGUGGCUCCUCAAGUGGGAGGAUAUAAGUUCACUAAGGUACUCAUGGAUGGAGGCAGCAGCAUCAACAUCCUCUAUUAUGAGACGUUUCGUCGUAUGGGGUUGAUUGAUAAGAACCUCAGCCAGUCCAACACUAUUUUCCACGGUGUGGUACCUGGUAAGUCGGCUUAUCCAGUCGGCAAGAUCGAAUUGGAAGUGGCAUUUGGAGAUGAGAACAACUACAGGGUGGAGAAAUUGACCUUUGAGGUGGUUAAGAUAAGAAGCCCGUACCAUGCUAUAUUUGGGCGGCCGGCUUACGCCAAGUUCAUGGCUCGGCCGUGUUAUGUGUACUUACAGCUCAAGAUGCCGGGUCACAACGGGACCAUUACGGUUCACGGCAGCCGGAAAGUGGCCCUGGAGUGUGAGGAAGGCGAUGCAGCUUAUGCAGAAUCUGUUUGUGCAACAGAGGAGUUGAAGUUUUACAAGGACAAUGUUGACCCAACUGAUAUGACCUCUCUGAAAAAUCCGACUACGGAGCAUGAGCCGACAAUGAAAUUUAAGUCAGCUGAUGAGACUAAACUUGUUGAUUUUGUUCCAGGAGACUCAUCUCAGCAAUUUAGCAUCAGUGCCAAUCUGGAUCCAAAAUAGGAAGGCGCGCUCAUCGAGUUCAUCCGUGAGAAUAGGGACAUCUUUGCAUGGAAACCUUCUGACAUGCCAGGUGUACCUAGAGAGCUCGCUGAGCACACUCUCAAUGUUGAUCCGAAAUUUAAGCCGGUCAGGCAGUUCCUUCGGCGGUUCAAUGAGGAGAGGCGGAAAGCUAUUGGUGAAGAGGUGGCCCGGCUCUUGGCGGCCGGGUUUAUUGUUGAAGUCUUUCACCCAGAGUGGUUGGCUAACCCGGUGCUCGUACUCAGGAAGAACGGCACUUGGCAGAUGUGUGUGGAUUAUACGGACUUAAACAAGGCGUGUCCGGCUGAUCCUUUUGCCCUCCCCCGUAUUGAUCAAAUCAUUGAUGCUACGGCAGGUUGUGCGCGCUUAAGUUUCUUGGAUGCUUAUUCCGGAUAUCAUCAGAUUAAGAUGGCAGUUAAGGACCAGGAGAAGAUGGCAUUCAUCACUCCCUUUGGAGCCUUCUGCUAUGUGUCUAUGCCCUUUGGACUUAAGUGUGCUCAGGCGACUUACCAGCGUUGCGUACAGAACUGUCUUCAUAAACAGAUUGGGCGCAAUGUUCACGCUUAUGUGGACGAUAUUGUGGUUAAGUCCAUAAAAGAGGAAACCCUGAUAGAUGAUUUAAGGGAAACCUUUGAUAAUCUCCGGGUCUAUAAGAUGAUGCUUAACCCGGCCAAGUGUGUCUUUGGUGUCCCUGCAGGCAAGCUCUUGGGUUUUUUGGUUUCUGACAGAGGCAUUGAGGCUAACCCGGAGAAGAUCAAGGCCAUCACCUCCCUGGCUAAGCCGGCGUGUAUAAAUGACGUUCAGCGUUUGGCGGGUCGCAUCGCUGCUUUAAGCCGGUUUAUAAGCCGUUUGGGUGAGAAGGCCAAGCCAUUAUAUCAGUUGAUGAAGAAAACUGAUAACUUUGUCUGGAAUGAUGCAGCUAAUACUGCCUUUGAGGAUUUGAAGAAGCAGCUGGCAGAGCCUCCAGUCCUUGCUGCUCCGGUUGAUAAGGAGCCCUUAUUAUUAUAUGUGGCGGCGAACACACGAGCCGUCAGUGUGGCUAUGGUGGUGGAGCGCAAGGAGGAGGGUAAGGAGCAUCCGGUUCAGCGGCCGGUUUAUUAUGUCAGCGAAGUGCUCAUUGAGUCCAAGCAGCGGUAUCCGCAUUGGCAGAAGCUUGUUUAUGGUGUGUUCAUGGCGAGCCGGAAACUUAAGCAUUAUUUUCAGGGUCAUCCCAUCACUGUGGUCAGUUCUGCCCCUCUUGGUGAUAUCAUUUAAAACAGAGAGGCCACAGGGAGAGUAGCUAAGUGGGCUAUAGAGCUUGGACCUCAUGGUCUCAAGUACGUGCCACGCACUGCUGUUAAAUCUCAGGCCUUGGUGGAUUUCAUCAAUGACUGGACAGAGUCACAAGUGCCCGAGCAGAAGCCGGAUAACACAUAUUGGACUAUCCACUUUGAUGGGUCCAGGCAGUUGGAGGGCUCGGGGGCUGGAGUCGUGUUGGCUUCCCCUAAAGGUGACAAGUUCCAUUAUGUGCUACAGUUGUUGUUUCCUUGCACUAACAACGCGGCUGAGUACGAGGCCUUGCUCCAUGGUCUUCGGAUGGCUAAAGAGAUGAGCUUAAGCCGGGUAAGGUGCUUUGGCGACUCAAACUUGGUGGCUCAACAAGUAUCAGGAAAGUGGGAUUCCAAGGACCCUCUCAUGGCGGCUUAUCGCCGCGAGGUUGAUGCUAUUGCUGGUCACUUUCAGGGUUAUCAAGUGGAACACAUCGAUCUCAGGAAGAACGAGGCGACGGAUGCUUUAAGCCGGCUGGGCUCUCAGCGAAAGCCGGUGCCGCCCAACACUUUCCUGGACGUCCUGUAUAGCCCUUCUGUUAAGUUGCCCACAGAGGAAGACUUGGCUGUCCCUGACCCGGAGGCACGACUGGUGGCGGCUCUCCAUAUCAUACCAGACUGGACAAUGCCAUAUCUGGCUUACAUGACCCGGGGCGAGUUGCCUGAGGAUGAAACUUUGGCCAGGCAAAUAACCCGGCGGGCUAAGUCAAUGAUUGUUAUCAAUGGGGAGUUGCAUCACCGCAGUGUUACGGGGGCGUUUCAGCGUUGUGUUUCCCCUAAGGAAGGUCAAGAGAUCUUGCGUGAGAUCCAUGAAGGGGAUUGUGGCCAUCACGUCGGCUCAAAGUCUCUUGUGGCCAAGGCUUUUCGCCAUGGUUUUUAUUGGCUGACGGCUCAUGCCGAUGCGGAGGACUUGGUCAGUAAAUGUGAUGGUUGCCAGAGGUUCUCACGACGGGCUCAUGUGCCGGCUCAGGAGCUGAGGAUGAUCCCAAUCACUUGGCCCUUUGCGGUCUGGGGGCUUGAUAUGGUUGGGCCUUUUAAAAGGUCCAAGGAUAAAAAGACCCACCUCUUGGUGGCAGUUGACAAAUUCACAAAGUGGGUGGAAGCUGAGCCAGUUAGCAAAUGCGAUGCAGCCACGGCGGUUCAAUUUAUGAAAAAGGUGAUUUUCCGCUUUGGCUUUCCGCACAGCAUUAUAAUUGACAAUGGCACCAAUCUCUCCAAAGGCGCCAUGGAAGAGUUUUGUCAACGAGAGCAUAUCCGACUUGAUGUUUCCUCAGUGGCUCAUCCUCAAUCCAAUGGUAGAGCUGAGAGAGCUAAUCAGGAGAUUCUGAAGGGUAUCAAGCCCCGGCUUUUGGUCCCUUUGCAACGGACGCCGGGUUGUUGGGUAGAGGAGUUGCCCUCCAUGUUAUGGAGCAUCAACACUACUCCUAACAGGUCUACAGGUUUUACGCCUUUCUUCAUGGUUUAUGGAGCAGAAGCAGUCCUCCCUAGUGAUAUCCGUCAUGACUCACCUCGCGUGGCGGCUUACGUUGAGGCGGAUAAUGAACAGGCGCGCCAAGAUGCUCUUGACUUGUUGGACGAACAGCGUGAUGUGGCAGCAGCCCGUUCAGCGAUUUACCAACAAGACCUGCGCCGUUAUCAUAGCCGCCGGGUUAAAUCCCGGGUCUUCCAGGAAGGCGAUCUCGUGCUCUGGCUCAUCCAGGAUCAAACAGAUGCACACAAGUUAUCCCUGCCUUGGGAAGGGCCCUUUGUGGUCAGCAAGAACUUGCACAACGGGUCAUAUUACCUCAUUGACAUUCAGGAGCACAAAGAUUCACGUAAGUCGGAGGAAGAGACCCGUCGGCCGUGGAACAUAGCUCAGCUUCGGCCUUACUACACUUGAGCCACCGGCUCUCGUGGUGUACAUAUUUCUCUCAGCCAUGUAUAUAUUAUGAUAAGCAAUAAAGCAGGACCUCUGUCCUUUUUUCUCCUCCAAAUAUGCACGUGUUGUUUUCAUUGCAAGAUUACAUGAUGAUUUUAAGGAGGAUCCGGCUUAUGAUUGUAUUCGAAUUUAGCUGUAAGCAAUAAGGUCACUUGGGGGCUUCCUGUUCAAACAUGGGUCGUAUUCGAACCAAAGAGAACAUAGCUGUCGAUACCCAUUUGAUUGGCAAAGUGCCGAGCUCAUUGGGAGGUUACCUUUGGUCAUAUUUGAAUCAUAGUUUAACCCCUCUGAGAACCGACGUGGAUCGUAUUCGAAUCAGCGUCAUUAAACAAUUCUUAAAAUCACUUGGGGGCUUCCUGUUCAAACAUGGGUCGUAUUCGAACCAAAGAGAACAUAGCUGUCGGUACCCUCUUGAUUGGCAUCGCCACACCCACUGGGGGCUAUAUGAUCAUAUACGAAUCUUAGCAUAACCCCUUUGGGCCGGGUCUCUGGUCGUAUUCGAACCGGAAGCCCCUAAGUUCCUCUGCUUUAUGGCAAGUUCCGUCUGAUUAUUUCAAAGUGUGUACGGCCGGGUCUCACUUUGCCGGCUUAACUUUGGUUUACAGUGUUAGUUGAACACAAUGGGUGUCAUUAAGACAAGUAAAUCGGAAUUAAGGUACCAACCUUAUUACCUGGGUUAUCUAAACCGGAGGUAUGCUUGCAGGUCGCUAAGUGUGUUAUUACGGCUGUGUUAAGGAUAUAAUUGAGGACCAGUCUUUUUUGAUUCAUAUUCCGGGUUAUAUAUCUAAAACAUAUGAUUCUCAGGGCGGUAAGCCGCCUGGAGACUUGUGAUUCGUCUUUCUAUGCAGGAUAGUUAAAGGCAAUUAUUUGAGACUAAGGGGAAAGAAUGACCCGGAGAAAUAUAAAGGAGAUAACUUCGAUAAAACUUCAAGCAUUCAAGGCGUGCACGAUGACACGACAAAAAUAAAGUGUUGGUCCUACUCUAUUACAAGACUCGUUGAGUCCAAAAAGGGUGAGGCAUUGUUUGGUAAACCGCCAGCCGAGUUAUGACGCUUGUUGAGUUGAAGUCUCCGGCUCGUUCCUAUCCUCUCCUCCGGCUGAUCCCAAGACCUGGAAAGUUGAUGACUUCCAGUCGAUGCCGUUGAGAGCUUCGAAUUGGGCUUCCUCGUCAAUUAACCCGGCCGGGUCAAUCUCCGGGGCGAAAGUGUGCUGACGAGCCGGCGGGAUCAGGUUGAGAGCUUCAUAGCGAGGGGUCGGGAUCCUCUGAUUCUCCGCAUUGUAACCCGGCUCGUACUAGGUCAGAUCUGUAUCGUUGCCGAUAAGAGUAGCCACCGGGCGUACGGCCUUCACGCAAGCUGCGAAGUCCUUCUGAUCGAAAGCGGAGCCGUCUUCCUUCAGGCUUGGAUAGCCAAGGGCGAUGUCUGCCGGGUCUAACUCCGGCAGGAAUGCCUUGGCCCGGCUCAGCGCGGAAAUAGCUCCGGCUCUUGCAGAGGCCCGUCGCAGCUCUUGAAUCCGUUGAGGCAGUACAGCGAGCCGGUGAUGGACUUCUGCCAAGUGAGUCGGCACCUCGUUGGAUAAGGCCACCACAGCUAAGGCACGCUGUGACCCGGUGUAGAGCUGCUCCACCAGGGUAUACACGGCCUUCAGCUUGGUGACCACGCUCUGGUUGAGGUUGGCACUUCUGAGACCUGUUUAACAGAAUCAGAUAAGCCGGCGACAAGGAUGAAUUAUGAGAUAUAAACAUUCAAAACUUGAUGAAAGCCGGUGAGGCGACUUACCGAAGAUGGCGGCCACCAUCUGGGAAACCUGGCGCUUUAGGCCGGAGAGCUCGGCGGUCUUCUCGGAGAGAGUCUUCUCCGCCUGUUCAGCCCGGGUCACCAAUGCGGCCUUUUCUUCGGCCCAUGCCUUCCGCUCAGCGUCGAAUUCUGUCUUUAGCUUCUCUUGCGCGGCGAUGCUGGACACGAACUUGGCGUUUGCCUUCCGGGUCUCCAUCUCUUGCAUCUUCAGCCGGCUUUUGACAUCAGCAAGGUCAGCCUCAAGCUUCUUGCCAGCAGCCUGUAUAAAUUUCCGGGUUAUGGCAUGUACAAUUACUCUACAAAUUUAAAGUCCCAAGCGUUUUCCAAGCGAAGACACUUGGCACUUGGGGACUAAUGCAUAUUGAAUGUAUCUAUCUACAAACUGCCGGCUCAAUUGAGUAAGCCGGAACCUAAGUCUACAACAUAUUCCAUCAUAAGUCGUUGACUUGGGGGCUAGCAUGGUAAAGGUAACUAUGCAGUAAGUAAGAGGACAGCAGAAUGAUACCUCAGAUUUUUGCUGGAUCUGGUUCACCAUGGCAACCUCUGCGUCUCGGCUCUUGUGCACUUGGCUGAUGUAGCCAGAGACGAGCUCUCCAAUGCUCAGGUUGGUGUAGUCGGAGAGGUCCAGGUUCACCCGGUGGGGCUGCAGCAACUCCCCCUUAGCGGAGUACUUGGCUAGCAUGGUAGGUCUCCCCGGCUCAACGAACUCCGUCCGGGUGAUCACCACGUCCGAGUCGUCUGCUGGUGGAGCCGAGCUGGAGGCCUCCGGGUUAACAGAAGCUUCUGUAGUUGCCUUGGUAGUUGGGGCAGCGGCCUCAGGUGCCUUGUCGGUUGGAAUGGUGGCUUCGGGGGCGGAGGCAGCUGGCGGUUCUUGAGCCGUCACCUCCGGUUCAGGCAAAUCCGGCACUCCGGCUGACUUGGUCUUCUUCGCUCUCUUGGUGAGCUUUGCCUGGGCACUGAAAGGACAGAAACGUUAAGCACAAAAAGGGUAAGUAAAGACAAGUAUAAUGUGAGAUGGUUGUCAUUACCCGGGCGCGGUCUUGAAAGCCGGAAGACUCGACUGCAUAGAGUCGCCCGAAGAGGGGGAGGUCUCCUGAUAAUUGGAGUCAGAAGAAUUGAGUGGCUGACGGAUAACACCCGCCAACGGAUGGAAAGGGUACAAGUGGGAAAUAACCUCAGUUCGGCGCUUCCUUGAUGCGUCAGGUAGCCCGGAGGAGAGAUCGAUGUCCUUGCUGGUCCGGGUGUGACGCCGGCUUUCAUGAACCUGUCGCUUCAAAAUAAAUUGAGGGUCUUGGUAAGCUAAAGGAUGUGAAAAGCUUACUUUCCGGGUUACCCUUCGGACUUUCAGCUUUGGCAAGGGCUCCGAGUCGGAGGAAAGUGACAUUACCUCUUCAACCACUGGGUUACUUGCGCCGGUGUCAUCCUGUCAAUGAGCAAGUAUUGAUAAGGCGGACAGCAACAAACAACAAAUACAGCAAGGACUUAAAGGCUCAGGGGUUACCUCUGACUCGGAGUUGUCGCUUAAUUGCAUCAGCUCUGAAGCAGUAGGCCUGCUUCCUUUCUUGCGAGGGGCGGCUUUCUUGGCGGCUUUCUUCGCCUUUCUGGCCUUCUUGGCCGCUUCAUGGUCAUACUUGACCCGCCAGAAUUUAUCAUCAGCCUGAAAAGUACAAUGAGGUUUUCUUAAAAUGAUUCAGAUGAAAGGUAUGUACAGAUAAGAUAUUCAGAUUAGUGGCUUACCGCUGGGGCUGGGUUGGUUUUGCAGAAGGGGGCUAGCCCGGUCCUUCCGCAGUCUGCCAGGCUCUCAUUUAAAAGAGCCUUGGUCAUCUCCUCUGCAACGUCUUCAGGAAGACCAUUGCGGCUGUGUCUCUGAGGGUCGUCCUUUCGGCCCGUGUACUCACACAUUAAGCCGGGGCGGCAGCUCAAUGGGAUCACCCGCCAUGAGAUCCAGACCCGGACCAGAUCAAUUCCAUUCAGACCAUUGCCCAGGAGAGCCUUGAUCUUGUUAAUGGUGGGGAGCAGAGGUUGGCGCUCCGCUUGAGUCAGCUUGUCGGGCGGUGGGUGAGUCGGCUCCAGACGCGAGGGGCGGAAGCCGGGCAAUGGACUCUCGUCAGCCGGCGACGUGUCUUGGCAGUAAAACCACGUCAGGUUCCAGUCCUUGGGGUGGCUGGGCGGCUCUGCGUAAGGGAAAAGGCAGUCCCUACGCCGUUGGAUGGAGAUGCCACCUAAUUCCAGACUUGGCCCAUUGGCGCACUCAUUCUGACGGUUCAAGUAAAAAAGCUCUCUGAAGAGCAGCAGACUAGGUUCUUCUCCAAGGUAAACCUCGCAGAAGACUUGGAAAUUGCAGAUGUUGGACACUGAGUUGGGUCCUAUAUCUUGAGGCCGCAAAUCGAAGAAGUUUAGAACAUCUCUAAAAAACUUUGAGCCGGGCGGUGCGAAGCCCCGGCUCAUGUGAUCUGCAAAAAUCACUACCUCCCCAUCCUUUGGCUGUGGUCGCUCUUCUGACGGGUCAGGGGCACGGUAGGACAUGAUGUCCUUCUUGGGCAGAUAUCCAGACUUAACAAAAUCCGCUAGGGUCUCGUUGGUGACAUUGGACCUCAUCCAGUUGCAAGUAAUGGAGGUUUUGGGAGCUUUGGGAGGCAUGGUGAAAGUCGGCAGUCUAUGAUAAAAGGAAAAACGCCUGGGUUAAUUAUGAGCCGGAAGCAAUCUACAGUUCAAAUAUCAAGGUGGCGGCUUAUAAGGGGACUAAUGGUAUACACUUAAGUGCAUCGGGCUAUUUAAGCCGCCGAGGGAUUGAGAAUAAUUUGAUUGUCUACAGGCUUUAUCACAGCUAAGCCGGAAAUUUUUGUGGCGCAUGAUUUUCUUUAAGCCGGAAGGUUCUACGGCGCGUGGUUUCUUUAAACUGGAGCUGUAAACCGUCGAGAUUCAAUGAUUGCAGUUUUUUACUAAGUGUGGUAAAACAGAUUUCACACAUCGCAGUAAAAAAUUUGGAUCAAAAUGGUCGGGUAAACGAAAAUUUUCUAGACCUAAAAUACAGACGCAGGGGAGUUCUUGAGCUCGAAUGAGGUCUUUAUGUAGUGAAAAGAAGUCUACUUGUGUUUGAAAUGGGUGCUAAAGCAUCUACCGCAGUGGUUCCAUACGGGCUAAGAUCAAAAAGGAGCAGUAAAAAUGAAAACUACUGAGGAACUUGCGGGCGAUGGCGAAGAACACGGAUGAACUACUCGAACCCUACCGCAGAUCUGUUCUAGCAGGGCAGAAGAAGCUUACAGAGGCUGGUGAGUUGCGGAAGUCGUCGCGUAUCUCUGGUCAGAUCAGGGUGAUGCAGCGGCCUGAGUUGAUGACGACGAGGAGACCCACGGCGGCGACAGCAGCAGAGCUCGGGCAGGGGGGCAGUGGCGCGAGGAAGAAGACGAAGGAGAGAGAGGUGGCUGGAGGCCCGUCGGGCCGGCCUAUUUAUAAGGCAAGCUCAUGAGUGGGCGCGAGGAUCAAGGAGUCCACGGCGUGGUUAUCUCCUCACGAAACGCCUCGAUUUUCGAGAUGACAGUAAAUGCAAAGAUCCGUUGUGGAUCUGGCGGAGUAAACAACGGGCUUAAUGGAAGAUGACAUCACGGCGGAUUAUCCAGAGUCCAGAGGAUGACGUCACGCCGGGUUAUGGCCUUCACACAAAUGGUAAGCCGGAGAUUUUUUUUUCCUGUCGAAAGAAUUGAAGAUUGACAUGAGCCGGCUCAAAUCAAUCUGGGGCCUAAUGUUGAGGAUAUAGACCUUAGAGUCACCCGCCAGGAGGGGCCGGGUUACUCAUAUGGUCAUUACCAGAAGCCCGGCGCCAAUCUUGAAGACGGUGGGCCAAAGAGGGGCUUAAGACCCGGAUAUGGCUUAAGGCCCGUAGUUACAAUCAUUAUUAUGGUAGAACUUGUAGUGUAAGGCAAGAAUAGUUGAGAGUCCGAGCCGGACACUCUUAUGAGCCGGCCGGGACUCUGAGAGCUGCUGGGCGUCAGCCUCCCUAUAUAAAGGGACGACCCGGCAGCGGUUUAGGGACGACAACAAUCUGAUCGAGAGCCGGGCAUAGCAGUUUAGCUUCCUGGCGAUCGUAACCCUAAUCAAUACCACCUCAAACUGGACGUAGGCUUUUACCUUCACUGUAAGGGGCCGAACCAGUAUAAACCCUCGUGUUCCUUGUCCCGCAUAACCUCUUCAAGCUUCCUAGCUGCGAUGGCUCCACGACUAAGUCCUAGUUCGAGGACAUCUGCCGUGACAAUUCCACGACAAGAGGGCUCCGACCCCUUCGCCACGCCGCCGCCGAGCCUGCGGCCACUACGCCGGAGCCCGCCCUCGCCGCGACGCCCUCCCGCACCUACGCCGCCCGUCCGCACCGCCCCAUCCCCUCCGCCCCCGAUCUGGAACUCGGCCUCGGCCCUGACGCCACCGCCGCGCGGAGCUCGCCGUCGUCCGCCCCGUCCUCUCCCUCGCCGGAGCCGCCCAUCGUCACCGUCGUCGUCUACCUCGUCCUCCUCCUCGAGCACACUGCCGUUCCCCUACACCGCAAGUGAGGCCCGGCCUCUCCUCCUCCCCCCCUGUCGCCCGAGCUCGCUGGAGCUCGUAACCCCCACCGCUGCAUGCACUCCCUCGCUCCACCGCGCGCGCCCCGGCGGCCUUGAACGCGCCCACGGUCGCCCCCCUGCUACCCGUCUCCCUCGCUCACCCCGCACGCCGCGAUCCCUGCCCCUGUUUUCCCCUGCUCUGCUCCGCCACCAGCCGCGACCGAGCCCGCAUGGCCCGCCUCCCCUGCUCCUGUGGACGCCGAGCCUCCCCACCGGCCCCGGCGUGAGCCCUCGCUGUCGUUGCGCCACCGCAACCGCCGUGCGCACGCACACCCGCACUUCGUCGCCCACCGCUGCCUUCCCCUACCACGUCGCGCUCGUCGCCGUCCCUGGUGUUGGCGCUGUCGUCCCGUGCCCCGCCUCCGCCUCUGGCCCCGCAGGCCACCGCCACGCCGGCGGCCAGUUCCGGCACCCCGCGGCGCCCCGGGUCUGCCCUUCGGGUGCAAACGCCCGGGUGCCCGCUGCCCGUUUCGGCCGCUAGGCCCCCAGGAGCCUAUGACAAAGGGGUCCCGCACCCCAGAACGAUUAAAAAAAGAAUGAUUUAAAAAAUAAUAAUAAAUUAAUAAAUAAAUAAAUAAAAUAAAAAUAAGAAUAAGAAUAAGAAUAAUUAAUUAAUUAGUAAAUUAAUUAGUUAACUAACCCUGUUUAGAUUAAUCUAAUUUAAUUAAUUAGUUUAAUUAAUAGUUAAUUAAUUAGUUAACCCUAAUUACCCUAAUCAGUCUAUGACAUGUGGGACCCACGUGUCAGAUGACUGCUGACAUCAGCAUGAUGUCAUGCUGAUGUCAUCACAACACUGUUUCGGAUAAUGUAUAUAUUAAAUAAUUAAAUAAAUUCCAGAAAUUAAUUUAAAUCUUUUAAAAUUCAUAUAAAAUAAACCGUAGCUCGGAUGAAAAUACUUUGUACAUGAAAGUUGCUCAGAACGACGAGACGAAUCCAGAUACGCAGCCCGUUCGUCCGCCACGCGUCCCUAGCAUAGUGAACCUGUAACAUUUCACCUCCGGUUCAUCUGUCCGAAAACGCGAAACACCGGGAAUACUUUCCCGGAUUUUCCCCCCCUUCGCCGGUACCACCUACGACCGCGUUAGGGCACACCUAGCACCGCUCGUUGUCAUGUCACGCAUCGUCAUGCUUAUGUUUGCAUUGUAUUUACUGUUUCUCCCCCCCCCCUCUUCUCUCCGGUAGACUACGAGACCGACGCUGCUGCUGCCCAGUUCGACUACGGAGUUGACAACCCCUCCUACUUGCCAGAGCAACCAGGCAAGCCCCCCCUUGAUCACCAGAUAUCGCCUAUUCUUCUCUAUACUGCUUGCAUUAGAGUAGUGUAGCAUGUUACUGCUUCCCAUUAAUCCUAUCCUGAUGCAUAGCCUGUCAUUGUUGCUACAGUUGUUACCCUUACCUGCUAUCCUACUGCUUAGAAUAGGAUGCUAGUGUUCCAUCAGUGGCCCAACACUCUUGUCCGUCUGCCAUGCUAUACUACUGGGCCGUGAUCACUUCGGGAGGUGAUCACGGGUAUAUACUAUAUACAUUAUAUACAUGACACAUGUGGUAACUAAAGUCGGGUCGGCUCGAGGAGUACCCGCAAGUGAUUCUGAUGAGGGGGCUGAAAGGACAUGUGGCUCCAUCCCGGUAGCGGUGGGCCUGGGUUCCUGACGGCCCCCGACUGUUACUUUAUGGCGGAGCGACAGGGCAGGUUGAGACCACCUAGGAGAGGGGUGGGCCUGGCCCUGGUCGGUGUUCGCGGAUACUUAACACGCUUAACGAGAUCUUGGUAUUUGAUCUGAGUCUGGCCAUUUGGUCUAUACGCACUAACCAUCCACGCGGGAGUAGUUAUGGGUAUCCCGGGGUCGUGGUAUCAGCCGAAGCCUUCGUGACGUCAGCGACUGAGUGGCGCGCGCCGUGUUGGACCACUUUGACGUAACCGCCGUGAUCGUGUGGGUUGCUAGGUCUGCUCGCGGCCGCGUUCGCAACGUGCAGGUGUGCAUAGGGCGAUGGGCCCAGACCCCUGCGCGCUUAGGAUUAGACCGGCGUGCUGACCGCUCUGUUGUGCUUAGGUAGGGCUGCGACGCGUUGAUCUUACGAGGCCGGGCAUGACCCAAAAAAGUGUGUCCGGCCAAAUGGGAUCGAGCGUGUUGGGUUAUGUGGUGCACCCCUGCAGGGAAGUUUAUCUAUUCGAAUAGCCGUGUCCCUCGGUAAAAGGACGACCCGGAGUUGUACCUUGACCUUAUGACAACUAGAACCGGAUACUGAAUAAAAUACACCCUUCCAAGUGCCAGAUACAACCCGGUGAUCGCUCUCUAACAGGGCGACGAGGAGGGGAUCGCCGGGUAGGAUUAUGCUAUGCGAUGCUACUUGGAGGACUUCAAUCUACUCUCUUCUACAUGCUGCAAGAUGGAGAUGGCCAGAAGCGUAGUCUUCGACAGGACUAGCUAUCCCCCUUUUAUUCUGGCAUUCUGCAGUUCAGUCCACUGAUAUGCCCCUUUACACAUAUACCCAUGCAUAUGUAGUGUAGCUCCUUGCUUGCGAGUACUUUGGAUGAGUACUCACGGUUGCCUUUCUCCCUCUUUUUCCCCCUUUCCUUCUAUCUGGUUGUCGCAACCAGAUGCUGGAGUCCAGGAGCCAGACGCCACCGUCGACGACGACUCCUACGACACUGGAGGUGCCUACUACUACGUGCAGGCCGCUGACGACGACCAGGAGUAGUUAGGAGGAUCCCAGGCAGGAGGCCUGCGCCUUGUUCGAUCUGUAUCCCAGUUUGUGCUAGCCUUCUUAAGGCAAACUUGUUUAACUUAUGUCUGUACUCAGAUAUUGUUGCUUCCGCUGACUCGUCUGUGAUCGAGCACUUGUAUUCGAGCCCUCGAGGCCCCUGGCUUGUAUUAUGAUGCUUGUAUGACUUAUUUAUGUUGUAGAGUUGUGUUGUGAUAUCUUCCCGUGAGUCCCUGAUCUUGAUCGUACACAUUUGCGUGCAUGAUUACUGUACGGUCAAAUCGGGGUCGUCACACCCGCCAUGAGCUUCGAGCAGAUGCUCGACGCCCCCUGCAAGCACCACGGCGGCGCAAGACCCUCCACGCACACGCUCCGGCAGUGCGCCAUCACCAAGCGCAUCAUGAGGGGCAACGUCCCGCCCCCUCCGGCUCCGGCUCCAGGCGCGGGACAGCCGCCUCCGUCUCCACCGCCGCCUCCAGCUGGCGGCGCGAUGCGCGACGACGCCUACCCAGACCAGAGCGCGGCCUACGUCGUCUUCACCGGCCUCGGCGGCGACAAGCGCAGCAAGCGCCUCCUUCGGCAGGAGGUGAACACCGUCGUCCCGGCCAAGCCGGAGUUCAUGCAUUGGUCGGAUCGCCCGAUCACCUGGACACGGGAGGAUCACCCGGCAGUCAUGCCGAGCCCGGGUGGUUACGCCCUCAUCCUCAACCCCACCGUCGUCGCGCGGCGCACGUGCAAGUUCUCCCGAGUCCUCAUCGAUGGCGGCAGCAGCAUCAACAUCCUCUACCGCGACACAAUGACCAAGCUCGGCCUCAAGGCCGAGGACCUGGAGCCGACCCGAAUGAUCUUCCACGGCAUCGUGCCCGGCCUCUCCUGCUCCCCCAUUGGCCGGGUCCGGCUAGAUGUCUUGUUCGGUGACAGCAGCCACUUCCGGCGCGAACUGAUCCGGUUCGAGGUUGUGGACCUGUCCAGCGCGUAUCACGCGUUGCUGGGCCAGCCUACGCUCGCCAAGUUCAUGGCGGUUCCCCACUACGCGUACCUGAAGAUGAAGAUGCCGGGUCCCAAGGGCCUCAUCACCGUCACCGGCGAUUACCGCCAGUCCCUGGAGUGUGCCUGAGACGGCGCCAAGUUGGCCGAGUCGCUGGUCAUUGCCGAGGAGCGGUGCCAGCUCGACCGGAUCGUCGCCCUGGCAGGCGAGGCCUCCGCCGCGUCGAUCCCGACCCCGGACCCGGCUGACGAGGCCGCCUUCAAGCCCUCCAAGGAGACCAAGAAAGUGAAGCUCAACCCAGAAGACCCCAGCUGCAGCAAGUACGUUGUCAUAGGCGCCCGCCUCGACAGCAAAUAGGAAGGCGAGCUCGUCGACUUCCUCCGUGAGAAUCGGGAUAUCUUCGCAUGGACCCCCAAGGACAUGUCGGGUAUCCCGAGGAAGUAUGCCGAGCACAAACUUCACGUCCGCAAGGACGCCAAGCCUGUCCGUCAACCCCUACGACGAUUUUCCGAAGAGAAGAGAAGAACCAUUGGUGAAGAGGUCGCCAAGCUUUUGGCGGCCGGCUUCAUAAUGGAAGUGUUUCACCCCGAGUGGCUGGCCAAUCCAGUCCUCGUCCUGAAGAAGAACAAGACCUGGCGCAUGUGUAUCGACUACACCAGCCUCAACAAGGCCUGUCCCAAGGAUCCGUUUGCCCUCCCGCGGAUCGACCAAGUCAUCGACUCGACCGCCGGGUGUGAGCUCCUGUCCUUCCUAGACGCUUACUCCGGCUACCACCAGAUCAAGCUGGACCGGGCCGACGCCCUGAAGACGUCCUUCAUCACGCCCUUUGGGGCGUAUUGCUACAUCACCAUGUCGUUCGGCUUGAAGAACGCCGGCGCCACCUUCCAGCGCUGCAUGCAGAAAUGCCUGCUGCCGCAACUCGACCGCAAUAUCCACGUAUACGUGGACGACAUCGUGGUGAAGACCAAGCAGCACCUCACGCUCCUCGACGAUUUGAAGGAAACCUUCGCCAACCUCCGCGAAUACAAGGUCAAGCUUAACCCGGAAAAAAUGCGUCUUCGGUGUCCCGGCCGGAAAGCUACUCGGCUUCCUCGUCUCGGAACGCGGCAUUGAGGCGAACCCGGAGAAGAUCAAGGCCAUCGAGCGCAUGCGCAAGCCGGCUCGGCUGCGCGAUGUCCAGAAGUUCACCGGUUGCUUGGCCUCGGUCAGCCAAUUUCUAAGCCGGCUGGGCGAGAGGGCGCUACCCCUGUACCAGCUGAUGAAGAAGACGAGCCUGUUUGAAUGGAACGGCAAGGCAGACGAGGCCUUCCAAGACCUCAAGUGCAUGCUCUCCGCCGCACUAGUCCUGGCCGCGCCGACCGACAAGGAGCCGUUGUUGCUCUACAUAGCCGCGACCCCGCGGGCGGUCAGCACGGUGCUGGUGGUCGAGCGACCAGAGAAGGGCAAGAUCCAAGCCGUCCAGCGCCCAGUCUACUACCUGAGCGUGGUGCUCUCCAUCUCCAAGCAGAACUACCCGCACUACCAGAAGAUGUGUAACGGCGUGUACUUCACCGCCAAGAAGCUGAAGCAGUAUUUCCAAGAGCACGUCGUCACCGUGGUCAGCACGGCGCCUAUCGGAGAAAUCAUCGGGUGCCGCGAUGCCUCUGGCCGGGUUGCCAAGUGGGCGAUCCAGCUAGCCGGCCACACCAUCCUCUAUGAGCCCCGCACCGCGAUCAAGUCUCAAGCCCUGGCCGACUUCCUCGUCGACUGGACCGAGACCCAGUACUUGCCACCGCCUCCUGACUCGACGCAUUGGCGCAUGCACUUCGACGGGUCCAAAAUGCGACUCGGCUUGGGGGCCGGCAUCGUACUGUCGUCCCCGAAGGGCGACCGGCUCCGCUACGCGCUCCAGAUCCACUUCGCCGUCUCCAACAACGUCGCCGAGUAUGAAGCCCUUUUGCACGGCCUCCGGCUUGCCAAGGAACUCAGCAUCCGGCGCAUCCUGUGCUACGGCGACUCAGACCUGGUGGUGCAGCAAUGCUCCGGCGAAUGGGACGCCCGCGACUCCAACAUGGCAAGCUACCGCUUCCUCGUCCAGAAGCUGUCCGGAUCCUUCGAGGGCUGCGAGUUCCUCCACGUCCCGCGCGCGGAGAACGAAGCAGCCGACACGCUCACCAAGAUCGCCUCGUCAGGACAAGCCAUCCCGUCCGACGUCUCCCUCGAGCACCUGCGCGAGCCGUCCGUCAAGCCAUCGCCGGACUCCUAGUCCAUCCGCGUUCCAGACGACCCGGCCGCACCUCAACCCGGCCCGGGGACUGCUGAACCCGGCCCGGGGCCUGCUCAGCUCGACCCGGCCACCAUCGUCCCGGACCCGGCCGUCGCCAUCCCCAACCCGGGGGCUGCUCAACCCGGCUCGGGGGCUGCCGACUCGGAACCCACCCUGGUGGCCGUCUUCACCGUGGUUGCGGCUCCAUCUUGGGCCCUCCCAAUAUCAGAAUUUUUGGAAAACGGGGUUCUCCCCAUGGACGAGACCGAAGCUCGGCAAGUGCAGCGCCGGGCGUCCGCCUACAGCAUCAUCAACAACGAGCUCGUCAAGCGCAGCUCCACCGGCGUGUUCCAGCGCUGCGUUGAGCAGGAACGGGGCAUCGACAUCCUCCUCGACAUACAUCAGGGCGAGUGUGGGCACCACGCCGCAUCACGAUCCCUGGUGGCCAAGGCGUUCCGCCACGGUUUCUACUGGCCCACGGCCCUCCAAGUUGCCGAGUCGCUCGUCCUCAAGUGUGAGGGACCAGCGCUUCAGCAAACGCAGCCACCAGCCGGCGUCAGCACUCCGCACCAUACCGAUCGCCCGGCCCUUCGUGGUCUGGGGACUUGACAUGGUGGGACCCUUCAAAACCGCUCGAGGCGGCAUGACGCACUUGCUGGUGGCAGUGGAAAAAUUCACCAAGUGGAUCGAGGCAAGACCAAUCAAGAAAUUGGAUGGGCCAAUAGCCGUCUGGUUCAUCAAGGACAUAGCGGUGCGCUACGGCAUGCCGAACAGCAUCAUCACCGACAACGGCACCAACUUCGCCAAGGGCGCGCUCGAGCAAUACUGCUCCGUCUCCGGCAUCCGCCUCGACCUGGCCUCCGUUGCACAUCCGCAGUCCAAUGGGCAGGUCGAGCGGGCCAAUGGACUCAUCCUGUCCGGCGUCAAGCCGCGACUCGUUGAGCCGCUCAUCCGCUCACCCGGCAGCUGGCUUGACGAGUUGCCAGCCGUUCUCUGGAGUCUAUGCACCACGCCGAAUCGGUCGACCGGGUUCACCCUGUUCUUCCUCGUCUACGGAGCCGAAGCCGUCAUCCCGACUGAUGUCGAGUUCGACUCGCCGCGCGUCGCGAUGUACACCGAAGCCGAAGCCAGAGAAGCCCGCGAAGAUGGCGUCGACCUGCUCGAAGAAGCACGCCUCCUGGCGCUCAGUCGCUCGGCCAUCUACCAGCAAGGCCUGAGGCACUACCACAGCAAGAAGAUCAAGCCCCUCGCGUUCCGCGAGGGCGACCUUGUCUUCCGACUUGUCCAAGAGCAGGCAGGCCAGCACAAGCUGUCCCCUCCAUGGGAGGGCCCAUUCAUCGUGAGCAGGGCCUUGCGCGACCGCAACACCUACUACCUCAUCGACGCACGCAAGUCAAGGAAGCGCAAGAAGGACACCGCCGGUGAAGAAACGACCCGGUCGUGGAACGCGGAACUCCUCCGCCCAUUUUACAGUUAGCCGCACGAACGUAUGUAUCAUCGCCUUUUGUAAACGCAUCAAACUAUGGGGUCCCCGAACGAGACUCGGGGACUGCCUUUUGUCGACCAAUUUAUUGUGUCCCUAUUUUCUUGCAUCACUAUACCACUGAACCCGGCCACCGGUCCGACUCGCUCGACCCGGGGGCUCGGGGGCUGGCCGGCUCGGUCGCCACCCCGCCGCCUUACUUGGUGAUUCUUGAUAAAGUUAGGAUGCCGCGGUCCCCCACUUCGCCCUAAAGCCACAGAUCCAGCUCUGACUGUCGGCUGGCAAGCACAACGGGCCAAAGCUCCUUUACGCUUCAUACACUAAGUCAAAGGCUGCCGGGUCGAUCAACCUGGCCCACCAUUCAUCAAAUAAACAGCCGCACGACCGGCUGCUCGCCAACCGGCUUCGCCGGAUUGCCGCCAGCCGGCCCAGUGGGUGUUUCGCUUGCGCUCAACGUUUCGAGGGACCCAAGUCCUGCGCGCUCCUCCCAAAGAACCGAACUCCUUGUCAUGGACCGGAGCCUCGGCCGUCUGACUCGCGGGGGGGAGGUUUGAGAAAGGAAAAGCAUGAAAUCGGUCCAAAAAAUGGAAGGCAAAAAAGCAAAAGCACCCACGACAUCUACACAAGUAUUUAAGAAAAGGCCCAUGGCCCGAGUUCAUUACACCCUAAAACCCCCAGUGGGUGGGUGGACCUGCUAUUUAACAGAUUUUACACAAAGUGUCUCAGGCAUCUCCAGCGCCGCGUCGCGACAUCGACGGCUCUCCCCUGGCGGCCUCCGGGUCCAGCGAGGUGCCAGUGUCCUCCUCAGCACCCACGUCGCGGUAGACGCCCGUCUCCUCCGAGCUCCCCUCCGGAUUGUGGAAAAGCAAGCCGUAGGCGUCGCCGUCCACGGCCCUGCCGUCUUCCUCCGCUCCGGAUGGAACUCGUCGUGGAAGGCGAACUCGGCGAUGUAGCUGGCCCGGGAGGCGAUCCGGCCGGCUUGCUCCUGCAAGAGCUGCUCCGAACCGGCCCGCUGGCCCAUCAACGCGUCCAGCUGCAGGUCCGGAUCCCAGGACAGCGCGAACCGGAGCGCCAUCUCAGCACAGGCGCGAGCGGCGGAGAUGCGCCACUCGCCAAGCCGGUCCGGCCCCAUCUCCAACCAACGCGCCAGGCGCGAGAAGCUGCUCGGUUGGACGGAGUCCGGCCAUAGGGCCGCCGUCAUUGCGGUGCCAGCCUGGGACAGCCGCCCCAACUGCGUUCCCAGGACCUGCAGGCGGGCCUCAGCGGCGGCGAUGAUCUCCGGGAAGGUCCAGGCCACCCGCGGAUCCGUCCCGGACCCAAUGACGCCGGUCGGGUCGCGCUGAUAGCGGACGGCUUCCUCCUCCAGCCGCUGCGUCUCUGGGAAGGCCCCUGCCACAAAGGAAGAAGCGAGUUAGAAGAAGAACAACAAGGAAGAAAGGCCGGAUCCCGGCCCGGCAAACGACAAGAAAAAGCACUUACUGGAGAAGGACUCUUCCAGGUGCUGCGCCUCAAGCAACGUACCACGCCGCUCCCGCUCAAUGGUGCGGUCGCGCUCCUCGAGCGCCUUCUUCAGAUCGGCCGCCUGGGCAAGGGCCGCCUUCAGCUCGGCGUCCUUGUCUUCGGCCACCUUCUCGGCCGCCUCGCGGCGACGGGCCUCGUCCUGACGGGCCCCCUCAGCCGUGGUGACCUGCCCCCGCAGGCGAUCCACCUCGGCCUGGAGCCAGCCCUUGUCGUCGGCCAGCUGGCCGCGCUGCUGGUCCACCUCCACCAGGGCCUGCCGCGCCUCUGCCGCCUUGGCGGCUUCCGCCUUAAGGAACUCCACCUCGGCCUCGAGGCGGCUCUUGUGACCCGCCAGCUGCUCAUGCAGCCGGUUGGCCAUGUCGAGAGACCGCCGAGCCGCGGCCGCCUCGGCCCUCGCCUGCGCCGCCUCGACACCAAGACAGCUGGUGUCGGCAACGAGUCGGUCGUAGUGAUGACCAGCCCAGAGCAGACGAGUCCGCUAGGACAGCACCUCGGCUGCGAAAAAGGACUCAGCAGAAGGAAAAAGCAAGACUUAAGAUUUGGCCCAACUGUUACACAGUUGGCCCGAAUCUCGGGGGCUACACCCAGUGGGUGCGCUAGUGCACCCCCACUAGAAAAGAGCACAAGAAUACCUGCGGCGACGUGGAGCUCCUCCUCCUUGGCGGCAAGCUGCUCCACGAGCUCCCGGUGCUUGCCCAGGAGACGAUUGUAGGCGGCGACCCGGAAGGCGUCGAGAUGCUGAAGAAAGCAGAAAUCAGAACAAGGCCAACACUCUAAAGAUUUGACCCAACUACUACGUAGUUGGCCCGGACCUCAGGGGCUACACCCAGUGGGUGCGCUGGCGCGCCCCCACAAAGAAUAAAAUUACAAGAAGACUUACCAGAACGACGCGCUCCAGGUCGCGCGUCCGCUCCACCUCGUCCUGGGCGAAGGCCACGAGCCGUUCCGUCCGGCCUCGCAGGCGGCGACUGACGGCGUCCAGCGCCGCCUCCUCCUGGGUCUGAGGCCCGAAGACAACGGCGCCCCCGCUCCGCGCCGGCUGCGGCACGGCAGCUUGGCGCCCUCCCUGCCGGGGCACCAAGGCGUGCUCCCCGCUGGUCGCUCACGACGCGGCCAGCACCUCCUCCAACGCCCCUCCCAGCGCCGACAAUGACCCGGACGCCGGGACGCCCCGCGUCGCCGUCUCUGACCCGGACGCCGGGACGCCCUGCGUCGCCGUCUCCGGCCCAGCUGCCAGGGUGGCCUCCGGCACCGCCGCCCGCAGCGUCUCUUCCAAAACGACGCCGCCUCCACCACCAUCAGUCCCCUCUCGCUCGACCACGUCGGCCCGCGGCGGGGUGUCAUCCUCCACCUCCACGACCACCCGGUCGGGGAUCCCCACCUCAGCCCGGCCUCCACGGUCGCGCUCCCUCACCGACGACGGCUCAAAGACCGUCGCUGCCACCACCGUGCCCUCCGGCAUCUCGCGCCAGGCCGGCUCCGCGCCGGCUUGCGCCCAUGCCGCCGCCGCAUCGGUCCAAGCACGGACCGACGCCGCCUCCAGCUCCGCCUCGGCCCGGUUCCUGUCCCGCCAGGCCAAGGCUUCGGCGUCGAUCGGAUCCAGGCUGAGGUCCGAGUCGGCCCGUCCCUCCACCUCGGCCUGGUCGGCGAGGUGUGACCGGCUCCUGCGGAACGCGGCCCCUUCGGCGGUCGCGGCUUCCGCCGCCGCCCUCGCCAGCGCGAUUGGCGACCUGGAGAAGAAGACAGAAUAAGCAGAAAAGAAACAAGACUAGUUGAAGAAAAAAAAUCUGAGCGCAAACGAGAGAUGAAGCUUACCCUGCCAAGACCGGGACCGGGGUUGGCCUCCCGUGCCCGCCGCCGCGCUUCCUCUUGGCCGGCCUCCCGGCCCCAGCCGGGUCCGCCGUGCGCUUCGGGGCCCGGGCUCACGGCGCGACGCUGUCUUUCCCAUGCGGGUGGCUAGGCGCCGCCCCAUGCGGGGACCCGGCUCCGCCCGCGUCGCCGCCUCCCCCGCCCAACGCCGCUACACCGACAACUGGUGUCAGCACCGACCGUUCCGUGCCGCGGUCAGCAAUUCAAGACACAUGAAGAAAAACACGAGACUUACCCGCGCGACGCCCAGCGCCGGCGUCGGACUCGGCCUCCUCCUCCCCGCCAUGAGCCGCGGGCUCCUCUGGCGCCACCGGCUCCACCUGCGACGGGGCCUGGGCGUAAGGAUGCCGAAUAGCGUUCAGAAGUACCCCCGCGUCGCGUCAGGACGGAUGAGAAGGUGCGCGGCAGCAAAGUAAGAAGACCAGACACUCACCCGUGGUGCCGGGUUCGACUGGCUGUACGGCGCCUUGCCGAACUGCCAGUCCUCACCAAGGUUGGCCUUGGAGAUGUCAUUCACGCCGCGCGCGACCUGCUCCGCGGACAACCGCGUCGACCCCAUGCGGUUGGGGUCUUGAAGGCCGACCAUCUCGCCGAUGAGGCAGGAGCGCCCCUGAAGCGGAAGGACCCGGCGCAUGAUGAACGCGGCGAGGAGGUCGGUGCCGGUGAGCCCCUCCUGCGUCCUCAUCACCGUCACCCGCUCGCAGAGAUUAACGAUCUCCUGCGACGGGCGCCUGGGCGAGUAGCCCCAGUUCGUCUUCGCCCGUGGCGGUGCGAUGGCGAAGGCCGGAAGGUUGAUGCGAUCCGCACCAAGGUUACGGACGUAGAAGAAGGAGUUCUGCCACUUCUUGGCAGAAUCCUCCAGCGGGAUCUUGGGGAAAUCCACCCCUGACCGCUUCGAGAUGACGGCGGCACCGCAAUCGGCGAACUCCCCGGCCGACGGGCCCUGCUGCUUCAAGGAGAAGAAGCGCGCCCAGAGGUCGAUCAUAGGCUCGACCCCCAGGUACCCCUCGCAGAGGGUGACGAACCCGGAGAGCUGGACGAUGGCGCCGAUGCCAAGAUGAUGCGGCUGGAGCCCGAAGAACUCCAGAAACGCGCGGAAGAAGGUGCUCGCCGGCAGCCCGAACCCGCGCUCGAAGUGCGUGAGGAAGACCACGCGCUCCUGCCCCUCGGGCCGAGGGCUCUGCUCGCCGCGCGGCAGGCGGACGCCGACGUCCGUCUCCCGCGGCUGGCGCCGCGUCGCCCGGAGUUGGGUGAUGUCCUCGGAGGUGACAUUCGAACCCAUCCAGGAGCCCGAUGGCAGCGACAUGAUCGAAGGAAGAUGGACGGCAAAGCAGUUCUGCUCGGAGCAGCGGGCGCCGCAGUGCGUCAGUUGCAAAGAGCGGAGCGAGAGCAAAGGGACAAGAGGGCGCGAGCGAGAAUAAUGUCCGCCGCCCCCUGCCCCCCGAUUUAUAACUCUCGUUUUGAACUUGGGGAAGUGGGGAAGUGGGAUCGUCUGCAUGCGCCUGUUCCACUACCCCGCAAUAAGUGCGCACGUACACGCGCAGUAACUGCCCGGGGAAGAGCAACCGGCCCCCGGACGCCACAAUAAAUCCGCGCGCUUGGGCCGAGGGCGCGGCGGUGGGCCCCAGCCCGUCGCCCGGUCCCGUCACGCGCGUGGCCUGUCAGGCCCCUCCGACUUUCGGGCACCACGUGGCGCCCGCGCAAAGCCCGAGGGAUUGCCCCAAGAUUCGGCGGACUUCUCGGUCCCCGCCACGGCCAAGAUGUUGCGAUCCGGUUUCCGAGAAAACCGGCACACAGUGGGUGUUACCGGACCCGGCGCUCGCAGAAUCCACCUUGCUUAAGGGGGAAACUGCGAAGGCCCACUCAUCCAAAGAUGGCGGACCUUCACAGCUUCGGGGACUACUGUCGGGGGGAUGGACCCCGGGCAGGCGACGGAACCCGGAUCCUCUUCAAAAACAACGGUGCUGGCACCGCCCCUCAAUACCGGCACGCGCUUGGCCGGGUCGCUCGACCCGGCCAAGCCCCGCAAACCGGCCAGACUAGCCGACCCGGCAAGACACGUCGACUCGGCCUCAACAACUGGCGCAAGACAGCCGAACCCGGCACGGCCGAAGCCUCCUCAACAAGCCAGCGCCACCCAUGGCGUGCUACGCAAUCCAGCCGCGGGUCAACUCUCAUCCCAUCCAGGCCGUAUGAUGGGGACGAGACUUUAAUCAACGAUGACCGAGGCAACAGUGCCCCGCCCAUGCCUCUGGUCAGCAGGAACGUGGCAACAGUGCCCCUCACCUACCCGCUGACCAGGGCCGGCGUGGCAACAGUGCCCCCGCCCUCACCGCUGACGACAGCAAGCGGCAACCUGACGGAGAGCACUGUACGCGACUCAACUCGGCCACGCCCUGACGAUCGACAAGACGGCGCACAGUCCCCCUAGGCUUGCGGGGCCCGCACCUAGGGGAACCCGGCGAACCACAAGCCCUCAGCGGGACCCAGCCCGGGUCCCCGGACACCGACAACACGGACCCACCGAAUUAUAACAUUACCAUUGUACCCCCGGGGGUUGGACUAUAAAACCCCCGGGAGCCCACGAUCAUUCGGGGGGCGAGCAAGAGGACUAGCCACAAAACAGCAACACUGGAGAGAAGGAGCAGCCCAAGCCUUGGCCAGCUUCCUUCCUCCUCCAUACAGCUCCAGGAGCAACAUUGUACUAUCGAUCAUCCAACUAUGCUCGGCAGGACUAGGGGUAUUAUCUCUCCGGAGAGCCCCGAACCUGGGUAUAUCCGGCGUCCCGCGCCCGCUCAUGCCAACCUCGCCUCUGGAGUCCACCAGCGCCCUCGAGCCUCCUCCUCUCUUUAGCCAUCCCUUGGCAUAUGUCGUGCGCCUACCACGACACUCGCAAUAAUAUGAUCGAAAACAUUAGUGUUCCCAGAUUCGAAUGAUUUCCAGUGUAAAAGGCACCUGUAGACAAUACAGGCUGCAAUAGACCUGCCAUUCGAGAAUCCAAGAUUUUGACAUAUGAACCGAAUCAAUAUGUCUACGCUUUCUUUGUCCUGAGGCACAAAGUUUAAGCAUGAUAAAAUAGGAGUUAGGACUGAAUGCCGUGAGGGUCAAAGUAACUGGGCAAAGUUAGCUUUCUAUAAGCAACGAAGGAGGAACACAAAACUACCCGAAGUAGCAGUUGACCUGCACUUCCAUUGAGCACCCUGAUUUAUGCUGGAAGGAACUUACCAAAAAGCUUUCUAAUCCUCGCAGAUCUGAUGCCUUUGUCUCCUCAGACCCUACAUGUAAUGGGGAUGAUCGUUUGGCUGGUGGCACAUAAGCAACCGUCAACUUCACCACAUUGCUUGAUAUGUUAUAACCAUCAUCGUUAAUGUGCUUGGAUUCGAGUCUAUUUCCCAUCACUACGAUGGUCUUUACAAGGAAUUCAUCAUGGCAUUGCAUGUGCGAUGAUAACUCAUGCAGUUCUUCCACUGUAACAACCACAGUAAAUUUGGACCAUGGACAGAGGAAGGCACUAGCCGGUUCAAUGCUGUACUUCCUAAUCACGCUCAUAACCUGGAAAGAAAACGCGACAUGCUCCUUUGUAUUGUUAGUUAGAUGUACAAGGCAACGACUCCGUUUAUUUAACUCCAAACAAAACUGGAGCUCGCGGGGACUGAUCAGAAGAAACUCUCUUGGGUCAGCCGUAAUCUUCAUAAAAGAGCUCCAAGCAUUAGUAAGGAAUGGUAUCAGGACAUCCUCCAGCAGCUAAUUAUAUUUGAAUGCUCAACACUAUAUUGGUUGUCUGUUGCAGAGUUACAGGUCACCGCGUUAUGACAUUUCGAAAGAUGUAAACUUCAUUUGCACACUUGUUAGUUUCCCUAAAGGGAAAGGACAAGCCAGCAAGAUACAAUAUGUUCUGCAAUGCAUUAUCAUUAAAUGGUCAUACCCUAACGGAAGUGAUGAAAUUUGGAGCUUGCGCAGGCAUGCACGGGACUGACAGAAUUUGGAGUCCUUAUUCAGCGAUAUUAAUGGAGUGUUUCAUGAUUGCUCUAGAAUUGCAUCUAUUUCGUUCCAGCAUUGCCUAAGGGAUGCCAAUAGCGUGGUGCACAAUUUAGCAAAAUUUUCUUUUGAUUCUAAUACCAUUGUAAGUUGGGACGGUGAUCCUCCUAGUCAUAUUUUGUCGGAUGUCCUGUAUGAUGUGACUCUGCUUAAUCAUCAAUAAAGCGCAACAAGGCAUUCCUGUAAAAAAAAUGGGCAUACCCUAAGUGUUAGUGAUCUUUCAGCACCACUAACAUGGAAAUUGGUGCAUCCCCAUCUACUAAGCUUCUCGAGAAUUUCCGUUGUUGCCGGCCUUUCAUUGGGUCAGUUUCCAUGCAGCUUAGAGCCAUUUCCAGGCAACUUCUUAUUUGUUGGUAGUCUGUUUCUAGUGCUGCUGCUCCCAACCUUUUUUUCCAUUUCUCAAGUACCUGUGAAAUUGGAACAGAGAUAUAAAAUUAAACUACGCAAAAAUAAAAUAUGGCAUCGUCUCUAUCACAAAUAACCUCCAUCAUGGAUGCUGAAGCACAAUUACUUACGAGUUCAAUGAAGUCAUGGUACGACAAUUCUGUAUCAAAAGGUGAAGGGUACUUCCUGUACCCUGUUAUUAUCUGUAUGAUUAUGACGCCCAAACUGAAUAUGUCUGACUUAGUUGUGAUUGUACCGUGAUUUAUGUAUUCUGGUGCCAUGUAACCACUGCAUCGCAGCAUGGAUAGUAAGACUUUCAAGCAUCAAGAGAACUGUAAAGGAAAGGCAUGUCGCUGGUCACAAAAAUGCAAUAGAGACAUUUAACAUACCGUGUUCCAUCAGAAUUUUCAGUGUGAACUCGAGUUUGUUGUGCACUGAAAAGUCUUGACAGACCAAAAUCCGCGAUCUUUGGUAGCAUAUCGUCACCAAGCAAUAUGUUCGCUGGCUUUAGGUCCAAGUGAACAAUAGGAGUAUUAACUUGCCACUCCUCAUGAAGGUAAUGCAAGCCAUAGCAAAUCCCACUAAUUAUAUUGUAGCGCUUGUGCCAAUCAAGUCCAUGCGAUUCAUCUGUAACCAAAAGAAGCGAAAUUAAAUAAAUGUUAUGUGAAAAUAUAUAUUGUUGUGCACUUGUGCUGAUACAAUAUGAAAGCCCUCGCAAAAAAAAAGAUAUAAUAUGAAAUGACUGCAGAGUUCUCUUCCAUUUAACCACCAACAUAUAUUCACUGAUCUUUAUAUCAUUUCACAGAACUGCCUCAAUUGAAAAUAGCUCUACAAGCGACUUAUGCACACAAGAGUCACAGAUCAACAAGGCAAAAGAAGGUUCAACAUUGGUUAAUGAAAUCAAACUGCUAACUCAUGGAGAUAAAUGCCAUACUACAAUCACUCAACCUCGAUUAGUAGUAGUAGUAGUAUUAAAUCAGCGAUACAAGAUUUGCUAAACUGGACCCUAGCUGUCUUAAUGAACGAAUAACAACUAUUUUAAAUUGAUGAAUCACAAACACGGGAUUUUAUAAAAUGAGCACAAGUGAACAAAUAGGUAAUCUUAAUCCUAUAUAACUAAAUAGGUGAUCCUCACUAACCUGUUUCUCUCAACAUGUAAACACGUCACCUGAACAUGCAACCAUGCUGAGAAAAGGCUUUCCAUUCUACUCCCUCCGUCCCACAAUGUAUGAUGGUUUUUUACACAACACUAGAGGCAAAAAACGUCUUACAUUAUGGGACAGAGGGAGUAUUAUGUUACCUGUAUUCAAUAUAUUUUUACAUCUAUACAAUAACCAAAUACAAUAAAACAUAUGUAUUCCCAUUUCAGUUCUCAUAUUAUUAAUCCAAACAUUCAUGUUCCAUACAACCGAAUCCCAUAGAAAUACAUUGCAACCAAUUCCCGCAGCAACAUGCAGAUACCAUCUAGUUAAGUAACAACUAUGUAGAAAACCACAAAACAGCAGUCUCGAAAAAAGAGUUUUUUUGGGGAAACAAGAUAAGUCACAUAUGAACUUCCGUACCUGCAAGAUGGUAAUCAAGGCUCCCCUUAGGCAUAUAUUCCAAACAAAGCAACCUCUCACUUGCCUCAAUAAAUAUGUAUUUUCCCUCGUACUUUAAACGUAAAUGUUGUGUUUCAUAGCAAUACCCCACACAUCGCACUAUAUUCGGGUGGUUAAGGCUCAAAAGAUGAUGAACCUCAUUCUCAAAUUGCUUCCCAGAACCAGGCGUUAAUGGGUUAAUCUUCUUCACAGCUAUCAGUUCUCCAUUUGGUAGCAAUCCCUGUUUAAAGUCUCUUGUUAUUGUUAAUAUGGAUAAGGUUUUUGGAUCAAUAUACAUAUUGAAAAGAUUAAAAACAUAUGUUUUAAUCUUACCUUGUAUACCACACCGAAACCACCUGCGCCAAGUUCUCGCUCAGUAGAGAAGUUGUUUGUGAUUUUCUCUAGAUAUUGGUAUGAGAGCUUGCAUUCAUCCCGGAAUGUGCACCCCGGGAUAUCGCAUCUGCUAGAUUCAUCGUCCAUUUUUGUUUCUACUUAUACAAACACUCUCAAAUGAUGGCAAUCAUUGUUUGCCUUCCGCAGAGUGCAUGGUGUCCUCAGUAAGUUGUGCUGUGGCAAGUUGUCAGUGAGCAACUUAACCAAAGGAAAAUAACUGUAUAAAAUUGAAAAGGUCAGUUGUUAAGUGUAUUGCACCGUCUGAAAAGUAAUAUACUCCCUUAGUUCCGUAUUAGCCGUCGCUGAUCUUUAUACUAAAUCAGUGACAACUAAUAUGAAACGGAGGGAAUACAUAAUGCAUCACAAUUGGUCUACUAAGCCAUGUGUCACCUUAGCUUCGCACGUUCAUCGAAUGGGGGAAGAGACUUUGUAUUUGUCUUUCUAAACCCCUUUUUUCAUGAAAGUCAACAGCAUUGUUUUUUCAUCAAAUUAAGGAGAGUAUACAAGUGCUCGAGGAGUGACAGAAACGAGGGAAAAAUACACACCGAACAAGCUUAACUGAAACUAACUCCAAAACAGGUGAACAAAUUAGGCCGUCAACGCAUGCAUUUAGAUUGAUCUACUUAUCAUAGGCAUUAACUGAAUACGUCAGAGAUAAGGUGAAUUCAGCGAAUACAAACGGGAUACGUCUGGUGGCAUCAGAGCAAUAACUGCAGAUGAAUACGGAACCAUCUCUCUCUCCCUCUCCCUAGCUAGCCGUUUGUCUCUAGUGGUAAUGAACGCAAUUAUUGAUAUUUACGAGUGGCAGGGAUUCCACCGUUUGCAUCACAUGAACAGGAAGGGAAAAGAGGAAGGAAGAGAGGAAGAUGAACAAGAGAUUGGGCGAUAUGAGAAGUACUCCAGUAGAUAGAGGUGAGGAUGCAAUAAGUGCAUAGCAACAUGCUGCCAUUGGAGGGUUGCUCCAGAUUAAGUGCAAGUGCGUCUCCUUGUGAGUCAAAACGUGGAGCUGGUAACUGAUUGGUGAGGGGGAAUACGGCCUUUAAUACAUGCGAGAAAGCGACUCGGAAAUUUGAUAGUAUACCUUAACGAUGUAUACAGAUUCAUCGCUAAUCUCUAGGAAUUAAGUGGUGGGGAUAUGGUGGUCCUCGAGUGGCACCAUGACCCAUAGUGUAUUUUCUGGUAGAAAAAGGUCUAGAAAACUAAGCGGCGCAACAACCUUUCAGAUCUCAAAGAUGGAAAUCUAAAAGAAUAAACUGAUCAUAAGAGAGCAUUAAUUAGAUGAUGCACAAGAAACAGGUCGAUGAACCACAUAGAUUACGACGAACCUAGAGGAGACUUCCCGGAGAUCCUGCAAGUGGAGGAGGGCAAGCUGCAAACGAAGCUAAGCAGAAUGGGGUGAGCCAGCGGGGCAGAAGCAAGCAGAUAUAGACAUUACGACCGACUCCGAGACCAGAAAUAAGUAACAAAUGGGACUUCUCUUUCCCUGGACAUUACAUUAUGAGUGGGCUCCUUGACCAGGUCGCCACUCCAGUGCUGACCAAGGGGAUAAGCAAGAAUUCUUCUAAGAGUGACGGUAGCAUCAGAUCGCCGAUAGCAUUUGUAAAAAUACCUAACUUUUGCAUCUUCAGAUGCCAAAAAACUGUCCCCAACAAAUAAUAUAGAUUAAAAAAAAUUACAUCUCUUAAACUACAAUACUUCGAGUUGUAAAUUUACAUCUCCGGGUAUUGGAGAUGUAAAAAGAGCAGCCGCGCGGCAACCAUCAACCGCCUAUCAUUUCACUUCCCCUCCACCCUAUCUUCAUCCUCCCGCUGCCCGCCACCGCCCCGCUAUGGAUCCACCUCCGCUUCGCCGCCCGCCUCCGAUUCCACAUAGUUUUGGCCGCCGCCCGCCGCCAUACGACCCGAAUCGGCCUGCCACCGGCCCGCUCUGCCCCGACUCCGUCCACCUCCCCGGCUCCGCCCCGACCGCGCCGCCUCUACCCCGACUCCGCUCGCCGCCCCGGCCCCGCAUCGACCUCUCCGGCUCCACCCCGACACCGCCGCCUCCGCCCCAACUCGGUCGCCGCCGCCCGGCCCCGCCUCUCUCCGGUCGUCGCGCCCCACCCUCGUUUGACGCCGAAGAAGACCCCGAGGAGCAAGACGGGGUUCUUCGGCGUGAGAUGAAGCCCUCCAGGAAUUGAGGAGUCGAGUUCUCCGACGCCGGCCGCCGUUUUUGGCUCGGCACAUACCCCACCGUCCACGAGGCCGCGCGUGCCUACGACGUGGUAGUGUGGCGUGCCGGAAGGCCGGGGAUAGACUUGAACUUUCCGGAGAUCGAGACCCAGGCGGCUGCGGAGAUGCUCGUGCUGCGGGGCAUCCGGUUGGAGGAGAUUCCGGCGAAGAAGGCGAAGAAGAAGCCGGCGGUUGUCGUCAGUCCCGGCGAGAGCGACGAGGCAUUGAUGGCGAGGUUUGCUCGGGAGCAUCCGGAGUACGUCCACGCCGAGCAGGAGUACUCCUAGAAGCGUGACGCCGAGGAGAAGGUGGUAAAGAAGGACGACGAGGUCGGCCCCUCGACGAUGAUCCCCGUCGAGUCGUCGGAGGAGGACUGGGGUGACUCGAAGGAGGAUGACGAGGGCUGCGACGACCCGGACAAGGACGAGUUCUGGGCACAGUUCCGCAGCUCCAACGAUGAUGAGUAGUUUCAUCUAGUAGUAGUUGAUUUAUGUAUGAAGUUUUUAAGUUUGAACUAUGUUGAAUUAUGUUUGAACUGUGUUGAAAUGAAGUAGUAGUUGGUAGUUUUCAGCAUUUUACAUCUCUACUUUGCAUCUUCUGUUGGAGUUGACAUUUUUUUGGAGAUGCAAAAAGCACUUUUGAAGAUGUAAACUUUUACAUCUCCAAAAUUUGCAUCUUCUAUUGGAGAUGCUCUAAGCCGACGGAGACAAUUCAACAUAACGAAAGAGAUUUCCUUAGAAAAAAAACAGAACACAAUAGAAGGGACAUCUUUAAAAAAAAUAGAAGAAAAGUAGAUGCGUAUGCCAUCUUUAGGUGGAAAUCAGAUUGAAAUUUUAUACUUCUGAGCUGGUUGUGAAAUAACACGGCAGUAUUGCAGGAAAUUCACAUGAAACAAUUCAAUUUCCACAAGAAACAGGAAAUAUUCAGACUGAUCAAAGAGGUCUUUAACUAUCUAGGCUAUGUAAAGUAGUGAUCUAAACACUCUUAUAGUUCCUUAUAGAAGGAGUAGCAGUUAAAUCUUCUUCUUCUUUUUUGUUUCUUUAUGAGAGCAAACGAGGUAAUCACACACAAUCACGCACCAUACGAAGCUUGUACAGCACAAAGCCUCAUCUUAGUAACAUAAAGAAAUUGCAUGAGCACAAAAGCCUCACGCUAUUUACCUUGCCUCACUUUGCUGUGAACCUCGUUGGUUACAGCAAUCAAACAAACGUGGGUGAAAAUGAGCAUCCUCGCUCGCACCUCUAGGACACACAACACCAUUUUUGACUGAAGUCUCAGUUUUUUUCUGUACAACUCAUAUCUUCGGCUUAUUGCUACAAAAAAAAUAAGACCAACCCAAGGGCUAAGCCACAUUGGCAUUUUUUUUAUAGGAGAAACUCCGCGAGCACCACGCGUCCGAGCCGGGACUCGAACUCGGGUGGGCUGGCAGCAAACCCCAGCUGCCCAGCCAACGGGUCGACGCCCCGUCCUCAUCUUCAGCUUAUUGCUAAAGCUAGACCACAGAGUUGAGGGUGGUCAUGUUUGCUGCUUGGUUAAUAUGAUGAUUUUUCACCGGUAGCAUUCAUGUAUCCAUCAGAAAGAAUUGGUCUCAACUUUCAACAAUAUAAAAAAUUCAUAGGCACAAGUAGGGAAAAAUGUUAUGUAGAAGAAGCAGCAAGUGACAUUGUGAUCUGAUGGCAUGGUAAUAAUCAGAGAGUUUUCACCACACUCGCCCUUUUAACUAAAACAUCUCCAUAGUACUACUGCAUAUUCUCCAGGAACAGCACAAUAUUAAUGCUUUUAGAACUUGGCAUAUCCUAGCUACACAAACAAAAAGCUUGCACAGCCGAUCAUCAG
rnacentral:lncRNA from 1 species